rnacentral:lncRNA from 1 species
ACCAAAAUAAUUUACUUGGUCUCAGUUUUCACCCGUGGAAUACUCUUGGCUUCUUUCUUGUCUAACCAUGACCAUAAAUGAGAAACAAUGGAGGCCAAGGCAGCCAACGAAAUAGUUCAAGCCUUACCAAACAAAAAAACUAACCUUAGUAAACUAAGUCCUCAGCAAAUAACACAGAUUAAAAUGGCUUCAAAUUAAAUUUUCUCAAGUUUUGUCGGUAACCCGGCAAGCACCGGAAUUAAUUGUUCCGGCGAGGCCAACGCCGCAUGAAUUAAAGCAACUUUCAGAUAUGGAUGAUCAAGAAAGUCUAAGGUUUCAGAUUCCAGGAAUAUUAUUUUAACAAGAACAACCCUUCAUCAUCACCUACUGUCCAAAAAGAAAAGAUCCCGUGAGGUCAUCAAGGAAGCUUUAAGUAAAGCACUUGUAUAUUAUUAUCCUUUUUCAUGUACGCUUGUAAAAGCCCCAACCGCAAGCUUAUGGUGGAUUGCAAUGGUGAAGGCCUCUUAUGGUGGAUUGCAAUAGUUUUAUUGCAAAAUAGAUAAAACAAUACACAAAAUAUAUAUAGUAGAUUAAUAAAAGAAUAUAUUAAAAAGAAAUAAGAACAAAUAAAUAAAACAACUAAUUAAGAGAAUAAUAAAAAAAGAUAAAAUCUGAAAUUUCAAAAUUUGGAAUUUAUCGUUUUGUAUGAAUUAAAACUACUAAGUACUAUAUUAAAUAAACUUUAUAGGAAUUUGAUAGUUUAUUUAGGAAAGAUAAUUACAAAUAAUAAUAAAUUAAAUAAAUAAUAAUGACUUUUAAAUUCACUUUCCCUUUUUAUAUACAAAACAAUCAUCUCAUGUAAAGCGAGGCUCUAGAUAACUGCCUAAGUUGCAUGGAGGUCGAGCCGCUACUGACUACAAAUCAUUGUACUUUGGUCCAAUGAGAUAGAUGCACUAAAAAAUUAACCUCCAUUGCACUUUAACUGUUCCACAUUUGACUUGUUAGCUGCUUUUAUAUGGAGAUGUAGAACUGUUGCAAUUCGACUAAAUCCUAAAGACACUGUUCUAUUUUCAUGUCUAGUUACCUCGUGAGGAAAACAUUAUAACAUGAACUUGCCUUCUGAGUAUUGUGGUAACGCGUCGGCGUUUCCAGUUGUAUGUUCAAAAGCUGAAACUAAAAGACUGGAUACUUUUAACAAAAGUGUGAAAUCGGAUACAAUCUUGAAACUAAAAGACUUUGUCAAAAUACACACACACACAUAUUUAAUCUAAGAUUUGAACUUUGUUAAAAUCUGAAAAAGUUAUAGUUUAAUAGUGUAAAUGACAUUAUAAUAUUAAACUAUAUAACUUAAUAGAUUUUUUGUAUUUUGGAUCAGAUCAGUACUCAUAAUAAUUCUCUAGUGAAAUAUCCUCAUUUUAAUAAAAUGAGGAUGCACCAAUAGAUAAAAAUAUAGAUAUUAACAAACAAAAAAAUAAUUUUUAAUGUAUUAAAAUUUAUUUUUAAAUUUUAAUAUGAAUCUGAAGUGAAGAUAAAGUAAAAAUGCUCUAAUAGGAUAAAGUAAAAAUGCUCUAAUAGUAAAGGACGAUAUAUAUUAAAUAUGAAAAUCAGUUCGAGCCAUCAUAAAAUUCUUUUCCUUUUUUUAAUACUGAUUAAUUAUCAGAUUACUGCAUUACACAGAUAUUUACAACAACUGCUAUUGUAGCAGAGAUAUUACACUGAUAUUUACAAUCAGAUAUACAUGAUUGAGACUUACAUUAUUACAUUAAAUUCUAUGAAGUACAUGCCCAGACAAAUAACCCUCACAGAAGAGGGAUGUCCAUACUCCACUUACAUUUCACAAGAAAGAAUAAUUUUUAAAUAUAAAGAACAUUUAGCCCCCACAAUACUUUUGUGGGAGCUAGAACCGCUGCCCUCACAAUGCUUGUGAGGGCAGCAGCCACCAGGCUAAAAUUCUUUUCCUUUAUUACAACAAUAUGGGGCAAUAUAGAUCUUUUUCCAAUUACUAGUGAAAACAUAUUUCUAGCUAUGCUUAUCAAACUCUAAAUUCUGUCACAAAUUAUUCUCUAUAGAUCUCAAAUUGUAAACAUAUCAAUAUAUUAAAAUAAUUAAUUAAAAAACUGACAAGCAUCCAACCGCACGUUUUUCAUUUGUUCAUUUGUGAACUAAAUUACAUUUAUAUUCUACUCCGAAUAUGACAUUUUUUUCACGAUGAUGGUCUUCUUUUGUUUGCGCCAUAAAUGUUUACACGUGGGGCUGGUCACAAGCAUUAUUGUACUGGAUCAGAAUCCGGUGCUUGAUAUGAGCAAGUCGUAAGCACCGGAUCAAUGACCCGUAAUUAUUUAAGACCCACAUAAAAUAAUUGUUGAUCAUUAAUCUAGUGCUCAGGAUUUACUUAUAUCAGCACCGAAUCCGUACCCUAUUGUACUAUGUUUAAUUAGAGCCACCCAAAUGCAAAACAAAUGGAAUGCAUCGCAAUCGUGUAUUUUUUAAUUAUGAAAGCCCACGUGUUUCUCAAAAUUGAUGAAGGACCACUUCUGUCUCGAUGUGCUUAUCUACAGGUUAGAUGCUCGGGGAAACGUAUAUAAUGGGUCCUCGGAAUGCAGUCCCAUCCACGUGAUACAUGCAUUCAAACUCUCUUAUAAUCUGAUUUUUUCUGGGAUUUUUUUAGAGGUAAUUUAAGUAUACUUAAGAGCUAAAAUUUAAUUUACUUUUAAUUUUCCUUUUUAAAUGCCAAAAACACAACAUUUAGGUGGCCAAUUACAAUUCGAAAACUAACGGAGUUUUAAAGUGAGACUCAUUUGAGUUCUUUCUCUGCACAUUUUAUAACCGCUUUCUUCUUCCCCGGCUUCUUCAAAACCUUUAAAAGAUUAAUUAGUUAAUUUGGUAAUGAAGAAUUCACCAAAUUAAUUUUUUUAAAAAUAAGAGCUGGCUAUUUAACUUUUUUGAGCAAUAACAUGCAAAACAAGACAUGUACAAACUACAACCCAAUGGUCCAUCACUCAUUGUUGUGAGCAUCGGAUACUUUAACAAAAGUGUGAGAUCGCGCACUCUAAGAUUGUUCGCACAUACAAAAAUUAAAUACGAAAAUCAGUUUGAACUUUCAUAAGAUUCUUUUACCUUACCACAAAACAAGAAAUACGAUAGAUUUCUCCCCAAUCAUUGGUGGGAGCAGAAUUCUAAAUUAUAAUUAGACCUCUGAAUUAUAUAUUACAAAUUAUUUUCAAUAGAACUCAAAGUGUAAGAUAUCAAUAAUUUGUAAUAAUUCAAAAACAUCGACAAGCAUCCCAGCCGCACUUUUUUCAUUUGUUCAUUUGUGAAAUAAAAGUACAUUUAUUGGACUCGACUAGCUUACAGAAUCUGUAAGGUACAGACUGCAGCAUCAGCCGUUGGAUGUGGUUGGAUGUGGAGUGAGAAACUAAACCAUAGAAAAUCGGAUGGUGGGAUGACGGAGAUGUUUGUUACAGAAUCUGUACCAUAGACAGGUCCCAUUUAUUUUUGUUUCCGGAUAUAACAUAGAUUUUUUUUUUUAACGAAGAUGUCUUCUUUAUCGCCAUAAAUGAUGACAACAGCAAAGGUGGGGUUGGUUACAAGCACUAUUGUACUAUGUUUAAUUUGAACCGUCCAAAUUGCAAGGCAGAUGGAGAUUUUUUUGGUGAGUCAAUUUGUCAUAACUCGUUCUGCGGUUUGAAAGUAGGGACAAUGACAAAAGGAAAAAAAUGGCAGACAAAUUAUCCCCACAUUUACCCUCGUGGUCUGCUGCAAUGCAUGAUUUUUAAUUAUAAUUAAAAUUGUUUUUAUUUUUAUUUAAAGUGAAAUAAGGUCUCUUUCCAAUAAUAAAUAACAGUCUUUUAAGACCCCGAUCCAAAUUCGACGAUGCGUGAAUUAAAUUAAAAAAAAAAAAGAGGGGUCAUCCAAGUAACUCAGUCCUAAAUGGCAUCCAAAAUUUCUCAAGUUCUAUCGGUUACCUGGAAGGCAGCGGGGCCUAAUUGCUCCGGUGAGGCCAACACCAAGGGCAGUGAAGCAACCUUCAGAUAUUGAUGACUUAGAAAGGCGAAGGAUCAGAUACCAAUAAUAUUCUUUCACAAGAAUGACCCUUCACCUUCGAUGCAAGGAUCAGAUACCAAUAAUAUGGUAAAUAUACUCAUUCAAGUAGUCAAGCUUACAGUAAAGAUAAAUAGAUAAAGAUUAAUGGCCGUAGUUUAAUUAUGUAAAUACAAUAUACAUAUGCCAUAAAUUAUUAUGAAAUGUGAUAAAAAUUUAAUUAUUUUAAAACGAGAUGAAUAUGUAUAAUUAAACUACAGCUGUUAAUUCGUUGUCUACUUAUUUUCGCGGUUAGUUUGGCUACCUUGAUUUUCUUAAAAAUAAUUAAAAAAAAAGUUAUUACUGGUUGAUUUAUUAUUAAGAAAAUGAUAUUCUCACUUUUUACAAAGUGAGAACAACACUGAGCACCAAAUACUGUGUUUUGUGCUCAAUAUAAAAACUCACUGUUCUCAAAAUACAACACUCUCAAUCUAUCUCUUGUCUCGCUCCCUCACUCUCUCUUUCUCGUGUUGCCCAAUUUUCUAAAUUUUCCGCAACUCUAGAUCUUCAACUAUAGUGGCUUUUUCCAUAUUCUUUAUUUCUACAAAUAAAUAUAAUUCAUAUUAAUAAACUGAAAACAACUAAAGAUUGCUAAAGUGAGCCACAUACAAGUAUGCUAUAAUUUAAAAAAGAAAAAAUAUCAUUUAUUGCAAAUUCUUAUAUGGAUUUCGAAAAUGUCCGAUUGCUUGUUUCCUCUAUAAAUUUCUAAUCCGAAUUGAGAAUCAAUUCGGUUAAUCCUUUUCUGGUUUUAACUCGUAAAUUUCUUUGUAUUUUGUGAUUUUUUAUUUUUAUAUAAACUAGUUUUUUUAUUUUAUUUUUAAACUCAUUGCAAUAAACUUUCAAUUCGGUUUGAUUUUUUUUUGGAGCAACGAUUUUUUAACCCACCCCCAUUGUAAUCAAAAGCAACUAGUUGAGUGAGGCAAGUUUUUGCUUCAGCCUUAAGAAUUAAUAUGGGAAAUAUACUCGUUCAAGUAGUCAAGCCUAUAAUAGGAUAAAUAGAUAACGGAUCAACGGUUAUAAUUUAAUUAUACGAAUGUGGUGUGCAUAUCUAUCAUAAAUUAUCAUAAAUAUGGUAAAUCUCAAUUCUCUUGAAACAUGAUAAAUAUGUGCAAUUAAAUUAUAGCUGUUAAUUCGUUGUUCAUUUUUUUUUAUUGUCAGCUUGCCUACCUUGAUUUUCCUAAAAAUUGGGAAAAAAAAACUUAUUGUUUGUGUCAAAGGAUUGCCUUAUUAUUCUAUUUUUUUUGGCAAAACUACAAUUAUGCUAAAAUUGUACAUCAUAAAUAAAAUUAUAAGUAUUGAAAAAAAAAAUUUUAAAAAAAGGAAGAUAGAGUAGCAUCUAUGAAAGUAGUUGAAUUCUUGCAAGGUGUGGAUGUAAGCAAGUAGUAAGUUUGAAUUUUCUGUCAUUGGUAAAUAUUGGUUUUGAUUUGGGAAAUAUUUUAAUUAUUGGGUUAGUUUUGAUGCAGAAGUAAAUUUGACGUUUGUGAAGUCAAUCGUGAAUAUAUUUUUGACUAAUAAUGGUAACGAAAAAAUAGCAAAUUGUUAUCUUUUUAUAGUUAAUAUAAUAAAAUGUUAUAAUUUGAUAAUUCUUGUAGUAAGAUAGUAACCCAUUACAGAAAAUCAAGCUAAAGGUCUUGUUCAUAGUAAAUUCCAUAAGUUCUUUCGGUAGAAAUAAGAAUCUCUUUUAAUGAGAAUAUCUCUUUUCGUUCAAUAAUUUAAACGAGAAUCUAAUUUCUUCUAUAUUUAUCAUAAUUUUUUUUUAACCAAUGAAAGAAAAGUCUUUUCUUGCCAUGAAUUUCCUGUCAAAAAUAAUCCUUUAGUUUAUGUUGUUUAUGCAAUAGUAUGAGAAGAUUCUUUUUUAUAAGUCGAUGCUUUAGGCCUUUAAUAAAUGCAUUAAAGAUGCUACUUAAAAACAAUUGGUUAUUGCUAGAGAUCUGAUCAGUGUGUGUGCGCGGGGCGGUUGUGUAUAUACGCGCACGCGUGUGCGCGGGUGGGUGGGUGCGCGUAUGGGUGUGUGUGAGUGGUUUUUUCAAUCCAGAAAGUAUCCAAAAUAAGAUGAUGUCCACCAAUUAGUAUGCAAUAACUUAAAAAAAAAGGGGGGGGGGGGGGGGGGGGGGAGACUAAUAAUGGUAACGAAAAAUAGCAAAUUGUUAUCUUUUUAUAGUUAAUAUAAUAAAAUGUUAUAAUUUGAUAAUUCUUGUAGUAAGAUAGUAACCCAUUACAGAAAAUCAAGCUAAAGGUCUUGUUCAUAGUAAACAUUCCAUAAGUUCUUUCGGUAGAAAUAAGAAUCUCUUUUAAUGAGAAUAUCUCUUUUCGUUCAAUAAUUUAAACGAGAAUCUAAUUUCUUCUAUAUUUAUCAUAAUUUUUUUUUAACCCAAAAAAGAAAAGUCUUUUUCUUGCCAUGAAUUUCCUGUCAAAAAUAAUCCUUUAGUUUUAUGUUGUUAUGCAAUAGUAUGAGAAGAUUCUUUUUUUAUUAAGUCGAUGCUUUAGGCCUUUAAUAAAUGCAUUAAAGAUGCUACUUAAAAACAAUUGGUUAUUGCUAGAGAUCUGAUCAGUGUGUGUGCGCGGGCGGUUGUGUAUAUACGCGCACGCGUGUGCGCGGGUGGGUGGGUGCGCGUAUGGGUGUGUGUGAGUGGUUUUUCAAUCCAGAAAGUAUCCAAAAUAAGAUGAUGUCCACCAAUUAGUAUGCAAUAACUUAAAAAAAAAGGGGGGGGGGGGGGGGGGGGGAGGAAUUUUUAAAAGAGUGGGACUAUUGGCACCCCUCUAAAUACCUCUUAAUACCCUUUUAAUUAUUUUAAAAUUUUAACCUUUAUUAAAUUACAUAAUAAGACAAUUUCGAAUUAAACCCCCACUCAAAAUCAAAUAAUUUUUUCCCCUUAAAAAUUCCUUAUUACUAUUAGAUUUGUUAAUAGAAUCAUUGAUAUUAUCAAUUUAUCAUUGACAUAAAAUCAUUCAUUCCUCUUAGAUUUGUUCCAUUAUCAUGCUCUUCACAUAAAAUCAUUGCUAUUAUAUUUGUUAAUAGAAGUCAUUUCAUAGAGGCAUGUAAAACUUUGGAAAUUCAAAUUAUGCUACAAUAUCUUUAUUAUUGGACUAAUUUUUCUAUGGCUUUUUUCUACAGGUGUUCAUGCUUCCAGCUUCACCUAUUCCUCCUAUUGCGAAUGGUUGGAUCAAGUAUCAUGAACCAUGUGCAGAAGGCUGGGCAACACCAUACGAAACUAAUAUAAGUGCUUUUAAGGAUUUGGUGUUUGAAGUUACCACACAAGAAAAUUGAUAUAGCUAGUCAAUGACAAUAUUAGACAAUUUGAUACUAAUAAAUUAAACAAGGGAUCAAAAAUUAAGUUUUAUCCACAAUUAAGGGAUCAAAAAUUAAACAAUGGGGUUUAUACUAAUAAAUUUAAAUUAAGGGUAUUUUUGUCAUUAAAGGGGUGUUAAAAGAAUUUUAUAAUAUUUUUAAUAUUUUAAUGGGGUUAAUAAAGAAAAGAGGUGUUGAGAGAUAUUUAAAGGGGUGCCAAUAGUCCUACUCAUUUUUAAAUACCUCAUUCGGGCUGUUAGAUUCCCAGGCCCCUUUAUUGACUGCAUAUGAUGGAGUCUACCAUACAUAGACAAAUGUUGGCCUUUAAAUUUUUAAUCCAAAACUUUUAAUCCAGAACUCUCGGAUUGAAAAAGCACCUAUAUAUAUAUAUAUACAGUAAUAAAAAUUAGGUCGAGCUAUUAGGGGCUUCUCUUUCCUUACCAUAAAAUGUAGAAUAUGGUAAAUUUCUCUCUAUUUGUUAGUGGAGCAGAUUUUCAAAUUAUGUUGAAUAGAUGGUAGAAUUACAUAUAUUACAUAUUAUUCUCAAUAGAUCUCAAAUUAUAAUAUGUUAGCUAGCAUGUUGUAUUACUCCUAAAUAAAAAAAAAUAAAAAAUUGAGAUGCAUCCCAACCUUACUUUUUCCAUUUGUUGAUUUGUUAUAUGUUGCUUAAUUUGUCACAAAAAGAAAAUGACAGAAAGAUUUAAUUUAUAACGGCACGUGCUUGAGGAACAAAGCACCAAUCAAUUGUCAAUCCCAUGAAAGAGUAUAUUUGUCGGCUAUUGCACUCUAAAGAUUUUGCAGCUACACCCAAAGCUUAAUUGUAAUCAUUAUUACAUUUAUAAUUCUACUCCACUGUUUUCUAUUGUUUAAUGCAAAAGUUUUGAUUGCCUCUUCUAAUUCACUUGGGAUUUUGUUCGCUCCUAAACAAAAUUUUAGUUGGAUGCAAAUGGGUUAAAUGAAUUUUAAAAUUUUUCAGAUUUUCGCCUUCAUUGCUACAAACCAAGAUUAGCAUCCGUUUCAUCGAUGCUGGUAUUGUCAUCACAAAUACUUCCAGUCAUUUGGUUCAAUAGCGUUUCGUUUAUGCUAACUUUCUCAUGCUUGUAGAUUGCAAAAAUCUAUUCAAGUUUGAAGAGCUACGUACAAAUUAGGGAUGGCAAACAGCGGGCCUGGGCUGGACCCGAGCGGGCUUGGGCCGGUCCGGACUUUUUUACCACCCCUAGGCUUAAUCCAUUUGCCUUAUGGAAAGGACAAGUGCAAUAAUUGCCUUUGCAUCUAUGGGAUUCUACUCUCUCUGCGCUGCUUGUACAAAAAGUCCACUAUUCGCCCUGAUUGUGGGAACAUAUGUCAAUAAUGCUAUCUUAUUUGACUUGAAUUUUUAAUAAUGUGUACAUAUUAGUUAAUUUUAUUAUUAGGCCACUGCUAAGUUACGUUUAAAGUAACUUAGCACACACACAACAAUAGUAGCAGGCUCUACUAAUGGUACUGUUGCUGUGUGUGGGUGUAUGUUACGUUAAUCGUAACAUAAGGAGAUCCUUAUUAUUAAUUAUUAACUUUUAUUUUUAUAAUCUAUAAAAUUGUUAUAGAUAAAUGUUGUAUCAAUAAGUAUUUUAAUUAAAAAUUUAAAGUAAGUAUAGUGUUACUCAAACACAUAUAGAAAGAACUAAUAUUUGACAUAUAUGCUCAAAUUAUGGGAUGGAUUCCGACUGAUCUUAAUACUUCAAACCCCAUAUUCAUUAUACUUUAAUAUUUUUAUUCAUUCAAUUUUUCACAAUAAAGCGGCAUAUAGUCUAUAAACUAAGAUCCGGUGUUUAGAUGAACUUGAGCUUGUUUUGUGCAUCAAAUCAACAAUCAUGAUUUGUUUAACAUGAGUUCUAUAUAAGUUUUAAUUAACUUUUGAUCCUUAAUUCAAUACUUAACACAAAUUCUACUACUUAUUGAAUCCUUAUCCUUACAUUGAUUAUUUUUCUCAAAAAUAAUCCUUAUACUUAAUAUCCUUAUCCCAAAAAUAAUCCUUAUCCUUAUGCUUAAUAUUAUUAAACUCUUUUUUAUAGGGAUGACAAUAAUCAUGAUUCGGACGUGGAUCAUGAUCCCUGGCCCCAUCCCCGAACCCACCUCAUAGAUGAAAUUGAUUAUUUUUGGGAUGGAUGGGAAUGUAGGAGAGAAUCCUCAAAUGAGGCAAGGAGGCAAGGGAUAAAACGAGGGCCAAAUGCCCAGCCUAUCAAUAUGUAGAUUUUUCUCAGCAGAGAGCAUUGAUGUGUCUUUAUAUUGAAAGAAAUUAUUUUUACGUACUUUACGGUUCAGUCGAUUUUCAACCAUUUUUUUUUUCGGUUGUCACUCGCGUCUACUUUAUUCAAAUCAACCCAAUAAUUCAAAUCCCGAAAGAAAUUAAUAAGAACUACAAAAUUAAUGGAAAAUUUACACAAAUAACCUAAAAAAAUUUGUUAUUUUCACAACUAACCCCUCAACUUUUUUCCUAUCAACAUUAGCCAAUAAUCAUCCCUAGUGCCAAAAAUGCCCCUCCCAUAACUCUACCUCUCCUUCCUCUCUCUCUCUCUCUCUCUCUCACCGUCGAAUUCACUGCAAGAUCUACUUGAUGCGUUAUCAAGAUCAUCAUCUAUAUAUGCAUCAGACUCUAGCGUUGCACCAUCCUGAUCAUCGUCUUCAUAGGACUCAUCAUCAUCAGUAGCCUUUUCAGUUCCACUUCCACUUAGUUCUGAUUAUAAGUACAAUUCUUCAAGGGCUUGAGGAAAUAUGCAUCACCCAAGUUUUAACAGAAAAGAAAUCAUUACAGCUUACCCCAAAUAUCUUAUCAUAUUCCUCCAGCAAUGUUAUGAUAAUGGCUUGAGCAUGAUUUACUGCAGCUGCUGCUUGCAGCAGUUGAGCAGAACCGUCACCACCCACAUUGAAAUCAAUUUCAAUCUCACAUUCACCAACUAGAAGGGGACGACGAAGUAGAGGUGCCAUGCAAAGCCGCCACUGCUGAAGUGCUCAUUCGAUUUUGAUUUUUGGAAGAAGCAACAAUUUUCAUCAUCAUAAGUAGGUGCGACAGGCACCAAAUUCGUGCGACAGGUGCCUGUCGCACAACAUCUUAGUGCGACAGCACAUGUCUGCACUUGCACAAAAUCUUAGUGCGACAAGCACAUGUCUGCACUCGCACUGAAUCAAGUUCGCAAGUUGAGAAAAUAUCUCUUACUGCUCGCUGAUACGGAUUAGUGUUGGAUUCGGAUGGAUUACGCUGUAUUUGAUGGGAGUUCACUUUUACCGUUCGCCGUUGCCGUUUGCCGUUGCUAUUUGUCGUCGCCGGUGAUAAUUCAAUAGUAUAAGACUGCGUUUCGUUUGAUCAAGGGGAGAAGAAAAGUUGUUUUUGGUUUGUAAACAAGGGUAAUUUGGGGAGAAAAUCUUGUGUUUGGCUAAUGUUGAUUGAAAAAAGUUUGAAGGGCUAAUUGUGAAAAUUACAAAAAUUUUUAGGUUAUUUUUGUAAAUUUCCCAAUAUAAAUCGUAUCGAAUAUGCUUUACUUAUAGAUCCAGCUAAUGGUAGCAAAGCCGGCAAACAAUGGUGUUUAUCUAAGCCGGCAAACAAUGCUCCCCUAAAUCGAAUCGAAAGAUAGACAUUUAAUGGCCAACUGUCAAGGAUGGUGGCAAAGCAUUGAAGGCCAUAAUCCCCCCCCCCCCCCCCCCCCCCCCCCCCCCCCCCCCCCCCACAACAAAAAAAAAAUGUCAUCAAAAUUGCGGCAAUUAUUCUCAGUGAUUCGGAAAACCCCGGAACUAAUUGGACCGGCGAGGCCUACAGCUCGUGUAAUAAAGCAACUAUCCAAUUUAGAUGACCAGCAAUGUGUAAGGUUUCAGAUUCCAAUGAUAUUCUUUUACAAGAAUGAUCCUUCGCCUGCAAUGGAAGGCAAAGACCCAGUUAAGGUCAUCAGGGAAGCCCUAAGCAAGGCGCUUACGUUUUAUUACCCUCUAGCUGGAGGCUUAAGGAAGUGUCCAAUCGCAAGCUAAUGGUGGAUUGCAAUGGUGAAGGCGUCUUGUUUACAGAAGCUGAAGCUAACAUCACACUUGAGCAGCUUGAGGUUGGUGAUGCAGUUCGGCCACCGUGUCCAUACUUGCAUGAAUUACUGUAUAAUGUUCCAGGCUCUGAAGGCAUCCUUGGUUGCCCAUUGUUGUUAAUUCAAGUAAGUCAGCUUCACUAGCAACUUCAUUCAUAAUUGCUUCUAUAUAUAUAUAUAUAUAUAUAUAUAUAUAUAUAACUUCAGAGACUUUGAACUAAUUACUCAGUUAAUCAACGUAUUUUAAAGAGCUAUUUUUAUAUUUUUCAAAUGUUUUCAUAUUUAAAAUGUUAGGUGCAAUUACUAUGGAAUAAUAACUGUAGGAACAUCUUAAGUAAUUUUCUAAAGGCAAAUUUCCUCUUAGUUCCGAUGAUUUGGAACAAUUAAUUACCCAUUUAGUCUUGUAUAAUUAAUUGUAGGAAAAUUAUUUCUUAAUCACCUCAAAAUAUCAAAAGUAUAAAUGGCAACCACGAGCUUUUGAUAAUAUCUCAGAGCCAUCAGAAGUUUUAGUUUAAUUUAUAUGAACUAAUUACUUUUUCAUUAACUCUAUUAACGCACAUUAAAAAAUAUAAGAUAAAAGAUUAUUUUGUCCUUAAAUUCUUUGAAGAAGGUAAAACAAUGCUUUGGGAUGGUCUAGGGAUAAAAUAUUACUUUAUUUUAAGUUAUUUAUCUGUGACUAACAAAGUUAAAAAAAAAAAAGUGACUGAUUAAUAUAAAAUAAUACUUUAGUGGUUCUACAAUAUUAUCAUAUAUACAUUGUCGUUUUUUGCAUUUUUAAUAUUCUUGAAGUGGUUGAAGGAUAAUUUUCUUUAAUCAUACGUAUGAAAUUAAUCAAAAGUUCUAUAUCGUUACUUCUAUAACUAUGAACUCUGACUGUUCAUGAGCAAAAUGGUGUUUUUCUCUAAUAUAUUUUGAAACUCAAAUAAAUCUAAUACGCAACCCUAGAAUAGGAAUUAUUAACUAGGUUGUAACAGCGAUAAAAGAGUAUUUAUUCAUUUUGAACUUAGGGACUAAAGAGAAACGUACCCUUAUUAUGGUGACAGGCAAUAUUGAAUAAGUAUCUUUUUCUGAUUUUGACUUUGACUUGUCUUUCUGAGACCUAACUAUUCAUGUUAUUCUGAAUGAGCUACUUUGCGAGACUCACGUGCAUCGGCCGAGGCCACAUCCAAAAAGCCAACCAUACGUAUACCACAAGGAAGUCCUCUGUCACCCGUUCUAGAUAACAUCUACCUUCAUGACCAUAAUUUAUUUUUUGAUUUCUUAAUUUAAAACACAUAGAAAUGUACCAAAGAGUGAGAUAACACUUCAAAAGACAUGGAAAAUGUAAAAUGAGUGUAGUGGAUACGAGUCAACAUUACGUCUUACUUAACCUUUGAAUUUUGUAUUUGUUUUCCACUGCGUAAUAUAUAGGUGACCCGUUUGGCAUGUGGAGGAUUCAUUCUCGCAUUGCGCUUGAACCACACAAUGUGCGACGCAUUCGCUUUGUUGCAGUUCAUGAAAGCCAUUGAAGAUAUGGCUAAGGGCGCAAAUGAACCAUCAUUGCUGCCUGUUUGGGAACGUGAACUCCUAAGUCCUAGAAUCCCACCAAAAAUCACAUGUACCCACCAUGAAUACGAUGACCAAACAGAUUCCACUUUGGCCAUGAACCCAAAUGAUCAUAUCAUAAACCAUAAAUCAUUCUAUUUUGGCCCCAAAGAAAUCACAGCAUUAAGAAACCAACUCCCACAACAUCUUAGAGACGGCUGCUCAACAUUUGAGCUAUUAACCGCUUGCAUAUGGAGGUGCCGUACUAUGGCACUACAAAUAGACCCCGAUGAGAUAGUUCGAGUUACAUGUUGUGUUAACAUCCGAGGCACAAAAUAUAACAUGAUGCUACCUAAUGGAUAUUAUGGGAAUGCAAUUGCAACCCCAACAGCAUGUUCAACGGCCGGAGAUUUGAGUAAAUAUUCAUUGGCAUAUGCUGUGGACCUGGUAAAGAAGUGAAGGCUACAGCGAGUGAAGAGUAUGUAAGAUCUUUGAUAGAUUUUAUGGAGAUCAGAGGCCGACCGAUGCCUGCCGUAAAGGGAAGCUUUGUUGUUUCAGAUAUAACUCGAGGUGGUUUUGAAGAGGUCGAUUUUGGGUGGGGGAAACCUGUGUAUGCUGGACCUCCUGAGGCUGUGUUGUUCAUGAGCUUCUAUAUCAAGUAUCAAAAUAAAGAUAGUGGAGAAUAUGGGACUUUGGUGCCAAUAUGCUUGCCGUUGAGAGCUAUGGAGAAGUUCGAAGAAGAGCUAAAGAAAAUGACUCUCCAAUGACCCAAGGCCACCUUGAUGUAGGAAGAAGUAUAGGGGUCAAAUAAAUUAAAAAUUAUCUUUGUUGAGUAUAACUAUUAUAUAUAUUAUUGGAACUUAUCUUAUUUCGGGAUUUAUAUUUGAGUCAGAUUAUAAUUCCAUCAAGUUCCCUAGUAAAAUACUAAGUUUACCUUUUAACGAAAACUUUUUGUGCCAAAUUAAGGGUUAGUUUGAGAUUGCGGUAACUGUUGAAAUAAGUCGCUUGUAUUGUAUGGAUGAAAUAAAUUGUUGAUUAAAAAAGUAACUUUAGUAAAUUGUAUUGUAUGUUUGAAAAAUGGAGUACAUGCAUUUGGUAAUCUUAUUACGAAAGAGUUAGUUUAUUAUAUAAUAACCAAAAUUGUCUUUUAUUCAUACACUUCAAAUUGUCUUUUAUUUGUACAUUGGAAUUUAUGAAAAAUAAGAUGUAAUUGUCUUUUUGGUAAAAUAUUAAGAUUAUAAUAAACAUUUUAGAAAUGUGUGGUGACUUAUUUCAUUAAUUGCUUAUAAAGCGACCCUUGCUUGUGAAAUUUACGGUCAAAAUAGAGAAACUUAUGAAAUAAAUAAAUUUAAAAAAUUUACUGAACACCACUUUUGUCAAAUCUUAUGGAAUAAGCCUUCUACGACAUUUCAACCUUAAUCCCAAAUAGGGCUCAAUGGCUAGUUUGAGAUUGCAGUUGUUGAUGAAGGCCCAAUUUUAUAAGCUACUUAUUUCAUAAUUUUUGACAAAACAUAGUGUUUGAUAAAUUUUGUAAAAACUAUUUAUUUCAAAAUUUUCUACAUUUUGACUGCAACUUUUAAAACAUCUCUAUCGUUAAACUAUUAACACUCUUGCCGUAACUUUUGUUCCUUUUAACUAGUUUUUACAAUAUUACCUCUUAUAACAAUUUUUUAAGGCAUUAAUAAAAAAAAUUAAAUUACCAAUUUAACCCCAAAAAAAAUUAAAUAAAAAGAAUAUAUGUUAAUUUUUGUGGAAGCUCACAUAUGUCUCAAAAAAAUUAAUAAUAUAAAAAAUUAAAUUAUGAAUUUUUUGGACAUUAAUAAAAUAAUUAAUAUAUUAAUUCCUCAGCAGAGUAUUCAACAAAAAAUAACAUAUAUUCUUUCUAUUUUAUUUUUUAGGGGUUAAAUUGAUAAUUUAAUUUUUUUAAAGAAACAUUAUUGUAAGAAGAUAAUAUUGUAAAAGCAACACAAAAGUAACAAAAAGCAAUAGCAUGGGGGGUUAUUUCCACCCAACCCCCAAAUGUUUCGACAUUUUCCACCGCGGACCCAAUUUUGUUAAUUUGACCAUUAUUUUUAACGGAGCUAUUUGAAAUUUGCUUAAAUAUCCAAAAUACCCCUUAUCUUGAAUUAGAGAAGAAUUAAAUGAGAUAAAAUGUUAAUCCAAUAAUUAAUAUUUACAUUAAAAAUUCUUAAUUAAAGGUAAUUAAUAAUAAUCUCAUCAAUUAAUUUAUCAAAUAAAUUUAAUUUAUCAUCAUCAAAUAAUAUUUAGGGUAUGAACUUCCAAAUUUACCAUUUGACUGUUAGAAUAAACGGUCAAAUUAAUAGAUUUGGGUGUGGGGUGGAAAUUGUUGAAACAUUGGGGGCGCGGUGGAAAAUGUUGAAAUAUUUGGGGGCAUGGCGGAAUUAACCCUAGCAUGGGUGUCAAUAAUUUAAUAGUUGGGAUGUGUUAAGCUAUUUUUAAACAUAUGAAGACUAAAUGAGCAUUAACUUUAAAAUAUAGAGACUAAACAAGCUUUUAUCUUUUAAUGUUCAAUCUACUUAUAUUUUUUCUAUGGUCAUGGUUUCUAUUGCAACAAGUUUAAUGUGAAUGUAAUGCAUAUUACUUUUUAUUUUAUUUUAUUUGGAUGUAUUAGUAUGAUUUUUUAUCAUAUUCUAUGUAGCAUACUAUGAAAUUCAUUUGAUUUUAUUUAAUUGAGUUUUUUUUCACUUUAUCGUUUUAAAAAAGAAAAAAGGCAUAAAUAUUACUAAACAUACUCCAAAAAAUAAAAGAUAAUUUAAAUUUAUGUCUAUUUUAGUUAUUAUAUAAUAAAACAACACUUUCAUAAUAAAAUCUAUCAAAUACAUGUGUACUGCUUUUGAAAUUCACAACAAUCACAAUAAUAAAGUUUACUAAAACACCAAUAUGCUUUUUUAAUUAAUAGCUUAUUUUAUCCGCACAGAAGAAACAACUUAUUUAAUCAACCAUCGCAAUUCCAAAUGACUCAAAAUAAGCUGCUUGUUUUGUACGGAUAAAAUAAGCUCCUGAUUAAAAUAGUGGAUUGGUGUUUGGUAUAUUAUAGCGGUAGAUGUAAGUUGAAAAAGAAAAGUGAAUGCAUUUAGUAAAUUUUAUUACAAAAGUGUUAUUCUAUUAUUAAUGAUAAGAAUAGGCAAAUAUUUAAACCGCCUUUAUUUAUACACUUGAGUUUGUGGAAAAAUAAGAUAGUAUUGUCUUUUAUUAAAAUAUCAAGAUUAUAAUAGAAAUUUUAAAAAGGUGUGACUGCUUAUUUAAUAAGCUACUUAUAAAAAAUAACUCCCUAACUACUUUUAAAAGAUUCAGUUAGAAUCUAGGCACUUAUGAAAUAAAUAAUUUUAAAAAAUUUACUAAAUAUUAUUUUCAUCAAAACUUAUAAAAUAAGGAGUUUUAAUAUUUCAAUCUUAACCCCAAAUAGAACCUAAAUAGAAUGACAUAUAAACUAAUAGAAUAUUGGCAAUUCAAAAUAUAAUCUAGCUAAAUAACAUACGAAGCAAUAUAAUUUUUUAUGUGUUUGUAAAAUAGUAUGGAAAGAUUUUCUAACUGGGAGGUUGACAUAUCAAAUUUAUGUUCAUAGAUUUUAGUCAUAAUUGAAAAAAAGGAUUUUAAGAGAAUUUUAGAAGGGUGCUAAUAUCAAGAUGCCCUUUUCUUUCUCUCUCCUUUUUCCAUUUUUGAAUGCAAAAUGGUGCUGAAAAUAUGAAGCAUCAAAAUUUCAAGAUCAAACUAAGCAAAAUUAGAAUCUUAGAACUUGAACUUGCUUAUUUCGACGAAAUUGAUCGACCAUCAUAAAUAUAUAAAUACAGAUUGAAAAUUAAUAUGGACAUGUGAAUAAUGACUGAUAUUUUUGACUAUUUUAAGCAUAAAAAAGAGUAUUUUCGAUUUUCUGUAGUUGUUGUUUUGCAAUAUCAAUGCCAAUUGACUAUCUACUAUUAAAAAUACAGUAUUUUCUAGAGGCAAACACAAUUAAAAAAAAAUUACAGUCGAAAAAAUAUAAGUUCUAAUUGAUUAUGCAAUAAAAAAUAUGUUGUGUUAGUAGGAAUAAAUUAUAUUUCUAAUUGAAUUUUAGUAUUUCCAAGAAGUGAUUGUUGAAAUUCAUUUUAUUCUACUUCAUAGUUAAAAUGAUCAUUUUAUUAAUUGCCUCUAAAAAAAAUCAAAAAAUUAAUAGACAAAUUUAUGGUUGAAAUUGAUUUUCUUAAUUGCCUAUAGGAAAAACAAUCAAUGAAUCAAUAGCAAAUAUUCUUUUAUACAUAAUUUCAACAAAUACAUGUGCAAUUUAAACAAAAGUCAAAUAAUACAACAAAAGCUACACGACGGUGUCGCUUCUACGGUGGCUUGGUAAUCAAUGAAUCAAUUGAUAAAUAUUCUUUUGUAAAUGAUUUCAACAAAUACAUGUGCAGCUUAAACAAAAUACAAAUAACAUAUCAAAAGCUACAUGGCGCUAUUACGAUGGCUUAGUGUUGUUAAAAGAUAAAAUCAAUGUGGAUUAAUCAUUGAAUCCUUGACAAAUACUUGAAUAAAAUAAUACACCAAAAGCUACACGGCACUACUACAAUGAUAUUUUGAUGUUGAAAAAAGAUAGAAUCAAUGUGGAUUGAGCAACCAAAUUCUUGUGAAAGUUGAAUACCAUAAUUUAUUGGAUUUAAUUCACAAUUUAUUUAUAACAAAUAAAAGAGACGUUAAUUAGGAUAGAUUCAUAAUUGAAUCUAUCCUAAUUAAUUCUUACCUGCAAGUGACAAUUAAUCAAAAAAUUCUCACCGAACAACCCGACAGAAAAAGCUGCAAACCAACCUUAUGAGAGUGAGGCCAACAAUAAUUGACGUCAAACUUAAGAAAUUAAAGGUAAUGGAAAAAAUUAAUAAAUAUUUGGAAAUAUCUCCCCAAUUCUAUAAAGCUUAGUUCAAAAGAAUUAAGAAAAUGACCCUAAAAUAGAGUUGAAAACUUUGGAGAGAUGAAUAAUACAAAAGAAGAGGAGAUGAAUUCAUCCAUUACGCUUACUGUUGGUGGCCUUUAUUUAUUUACUUAUUCCAUUAAUGGAUAGGAUUUGGUGGCUGAUUGAGAGAAUGGAGAACGUGGUUAGAGUAAACAUAUCAUUUGCACUAAAAACUUUAGUUAGGUGGCAUUAUAAUAGCUAAGUGGACCAAACGGUUACUAGAGAUACUACAAGAUAUUCAAAUUCUUAAAAAAAAUAAAUUAAUUUAUAUAUCCUUAGUUAGUUAGUUAUUUCAUACUGAUAAAUAAUGAAAAUUAUUAGCAUAUGAUUCGAUUAACUGCAAAACAAAACUUCUUAUCAUAUUAAUGCAAAUUUAAAGUUUGUUAUAACUAAACAAUUAUAUAUAAUAUCUAUUAUGUGAUUGCUGGUUAGAUUAUUUAAUUACUUUUUAGCCUAAAUUGAUUGAUAGAACAUCUUUAACAUAGAUUUUAAAUUUAAAUGAAAAAUUAGUAAGAUAAACAAAAGAUAAAAAUAGAUAUUGACCCACAAAUUAUAAAGCUAUAUUAGUUUUAAUAAUUCAUAGUUAAGUUAUGUUUCAAAAGAUAAAUAAAUUAUUGAAAUAGUUCUAAUUAUAUGUUGAAAUUAAUUGUAUGACCGUUCUUAGACAAUUAGACUAAUUUAAUAAACAAUAUUUCAACAAUAAUUAAAUUUUAAUUACUAAUUAUCUAAUAUUUUUUAGUAUAUGCAAUGAAUGUUAAGUAUGAAGUAUAUGUUCCAUGUUCCACAAUCAAGAGUAUAAUACAAUUAUGAAAACUAUUAAACUCCAUUUAUUAAAAUUGUCACUAGAGUACAUUAGUUUUAAAAUUAGCUAGUCUCCAUAUUGAUUCAAUAACAAUUAUGAUCAUUCAUAGACAUUAUUUCUAUAAAUGCUUAACUAUAAAGUACCAAUUAGUUUGAUAAUGAAUCUCUAAAUUGAUUAUUAAUACAAUCGAAAUUAAACAUUAAUGCAAGUUUCAAGUUUGUUUAUAAAAUUGAAUGGGAUCAUAAAUAUUUUAGAGUUUUCUUGGACUACAAUGCUAUUUUGAAAUUUAUUUGAUGUUUAGUUGUAAGACAUCGUACAUUAUAUUUAUGUUGUAAUCAAUCAAUCGUACUUAUAAGUUAAAUAAGGUAAUUCAAUUUUAUUGUUGCACCAAGUAAAACCUUAAGAAAAAGUCAAUUCCUUAAUAAUCAUUUAAUAUAUAUUGCUAAUUACUUCAAGGUUACGUAGUAGACACUCUCAUAUAUUUUUUUUUGGUUAAGGGUUGAAAUUCUGUGUUCAUUGUAGAAUUUAAUUUUAUUUUAAAAUUAAGUACAUUAAAUUAAUCAUUUAUUUAAUUAUCUAGUUCAUGUUUGAUUAAAAAAAUAGUAAACUAAGAAAAAAAUUACAAUUACUUUUCUGUUAGAUGAUAUCUAAUUUUAUAUUAUGUUUUCUUGCCCUUAUAUCUUUGCUUUGACUGACCUUGCAAGUUAUACUAGUGAAAAAUAUAUUGGCACUUAUGUUGCCUCUCAAAAUUGUAUAUCCUUUGGAUAUUUUUUUCUACUAACUCUUAGUUACAGUUAAAAAAAUUUUCUAUUUCUGACAAAAAAGAGUCAUAGAAGAGUUAAAAUUUUCAGAAAUUUCUUAUUGUUUUACUCCACUGUUUUCUAUUGUUUAAUGCAAAAGUUUUGAUUGCCUCUUCUAAUUCACUUGGGAUUUAGUUCCCUCCUAAACAAAAUUUUAGUUGGAUGCAAAUGGGUUAUAGGAAUAAAAAAAAAAAAAUUAUAUAUAUAUAUAUUCAGAUGUUAGCCUUCAUUGCUAGAAACCAAGAUAAGCAUCCGUUUCAUUGAUGUUGGUUUGUCAUCACCGAUACUUCCAGUCCUUGGUUAAACUAACUACAAUUCAAGAGGGUGUCGUUUAUGCUAACUUCUUCUCACGUUUGUAAAAUGUUAAUUGCUCUCUUAAUAAAAAUUAUUAUUAUUGUUGCUAUUGUUGUAGUAGUUGUUGUUGAUAUUAUUAGGCUGAUGAACUUAAAAAAACACGCCAAACAUGUGGGUUUAAAUAAAAUACGUUAGGCACGUGAACUUUUUUAAGACAUUUGGCUUUGAGGGGUAAAAGAAAAAGUUGAUGGACCUUUUUUUGGAGACAAUCCAUUACACCACCCGAGUGGCUCGAUCCAUGAACCGUGCUGGGCCUUAAUAAAAAAUUUGGGUACGACGCAAUAUGGCCCAUCAGUUUAAUGGGCCGUGCCGUGCCGGCCGAUGGGCCCUAAUGGCCGUGGUUUGCCGUUGGACACCUUCAGGUCCAAAAUCCGAAUUGGCCGUAAUUGCAAAAUAUAUCCCAUAAAAUAGCUUGUUUUCUAAAAUACACCUCUAUAGAGUGCUAUUUUCACAAAUGCCCCUAAUUUAUAGGUCACUACUUCAAAUUUCAGUCAAGAGCCACCACCGGUCCACCGCUCUCUCUCUUUCUCUGUUCCUCUUCGUUAAGCCACUGAAACGGCGAAGCCUCUAUCAAAAAAAAAAAAAAAAAAAACAAUGUAAGUUGUUCACUUCUUAACUCUCUUAAUUAACUAAUUUUUUUAACUUUCUUAUUUCCUUUAUUAAAAAAAAAGAAUUAAACUUGAAUUUGCUCGGACGAUUUUGAAUGUACAGGUCGAGAAUUUGCGUGAAGAAUUUACCAAAAUACGUGACGGAGGAUCGCCUGAGAGAUUUUUUUUCUCAGAAAGGAGAAAUAACUGACGCCAAGCUUAUGCGCACCAAGUAAUUUUUGAAUUUUUUUUCGUUUUUUAAUUUUGCUGGAAUUUUAUUGAUUGAUUUAUUUUUUAAUUUGGUUGUAUUGCUGUGUUUUGAUUUUUGUUUAGAGAUGGCAAGAGCAGGCAAUUUGCUUUUAUUGGUUUCCGUACCGAGCAAGAAGCUGAGGAAGCUAUAAAGUACUUUAACAAAUCUUAUCUUGACACUUGUAGAAUCUCUUGUGAGGUCGGUUUUUGUUAUUACUCUGUUUUAUUUUAUUGAUUUUUAAUUUUUAUUUUCAGAGUAGGUGAAUUUUGUUUUCUUAUUAUUUACAUGCUUUUAGCGGUAAUUGGGAGAUUAUUGAGUGAAAAUUAACUUAAGUGAUUUAGUUAUCAUUUAAUCUACUUCAUGAAUCUGAAAUGAAUUUGAUGUAUGCCUGUGGCUAAUAUACUCAUGGAAUGUAAAGGAUUAGUAAUUUUGGUUGGUCUGACUAAUGUAGAUUUGGUUGAUUAAUAUAUCUUUUGCUGAUUAUAUUUUGUCAAGUACCCAAGUGUACAUAAAAAAAAUUGAAGACUCCAUAGCUUGUUUCUAGAUUGCUCGUAAAGUUGGGGAUCCAAAUAUGCCUCGUCCAUGGAGUCGAUAUUCUUUGAAGAAAGAAAAAGAAGUGUCAGAAGAUGAGAAGAAUCCUGUUCUUGCUGCUAAAAGAGGAGAGAAAAAGACCAUUGAAAAGGUUACUGAGAAUGACGAUCCUCAGCUUCAAGAAUUUCUUCAGGUGAUGCAGCCGAGGGUCAAGUCAAAAAUGUGGGCAAAUGAUACCUUGAUUGGUCUCAUGGCUGACCAGAAGGCCAAAGUCUCUGAGAAUAUAUCACAAGCAAUCAAAGGAGGGGAGAAAUCAAUUACAUUGCAUGUUCAGUCAGAUAAAUCCAAUGUGAUAACAGAUAGCCAGGCAACUGAGAAAUCAAAAAAUGCUGCUGCUGAUGAAUUAAUUUCAGAUAUGGAUUAUUUUAAGAGUCGAGUGAAGAAAGAUUGGUCAGAUUCGGAAAGUGAAGAUGAUUCUGCUGGUGAUGAUGAUGAUGAUGAUGACGGGGAGGAGGAGGAGGAGGAAGAGAAUGACCACAAUGGUGAUUCUAAUGAAGAAUGUGAUAGUAUUAUAAAGGAUUCAAUUCAUUCUGGGGUUGGAGAAGAAGAUGCCAAUGGUGAAAUUGUUGACCCAGGGAAUCCAUCAUCAAGUUCGAAAGAUGUGCAACAAGAAGUUUUGGAAAGUGGUCGUCUUUUUGUCCGUAAUCUUCCAUAUACAGCAACGUAUGUACCUUACUGCCUCUUUUUCAUAGUGGUCAUAUGUAUGACUAUAAAUAUACUUACAUAAAUCUUUAUGUAACAGUGAAGAUGAGCUGAGGGAGCACUUCAGUAAAUUUGGCAAUGUCUCAGAGGUCCACAUUGUUGUUGAUAAGGAUACAAAACGGUCCAAAGGGAUAGCUUAUGUUCUUUAUGCAAUUCCAGAAUCUGCAUCAAGGUACUUGUGUUUGGGUGUUUUCUGUUACCUAAAACUUCUUGGUGUUGCUUUGAUACUUUUAAAUUCAUCAGUGGAUUAUUAGGAGGUCUCUGAAACUUAUCCUUAGUUGAGACCUCAUAAAUAUGCUCUCAUAUGUGACUUGGGAAUAAGAAAGAUAGUUGGAAUACACAUACGCGUAAUUUUCUUAUUAAAAAAUGGGAGAAAAAUGUUGGAGAUAUGGUAGUUCAUAGGAGAGAGCUAGGAGAUGUUGGAUUUUUUCCCAUUCUUGGGGCGCUUAUCUGCGAGAGGCUUUUUUGUUUUUUUUGGGCUAAGACAGGUGCCAUUGUAUUGGUGUUUCUUUUGGCAUAACUAACCAUUUUAAGCUUUGAAUUUCUGUACAUGGUUUGCUGACAUGGUCAAAGUGCAGUGAUAACUAACACAUGUUAGCCUUUCAUCCUUUUCUUGUAUACUUAAUUUUUCUCAGAAUACUGUUAAUUGUUAUUCUUUCCUUUUCUCACUGCAUUAUUCAUAGUUAUUGGGGUCCAUGAACUUUUUCAGUUUGCAGAUUGUUUACUGUUGGAUCAUAUGGUAGAUUACAAUUUAUUGUACUAGCAAAUUCUUCUUGGCCACUGGUUUGAUACAUUGCAGGAUGGAUGUGCUGUUUGAGUCAGUUUUGGAUCUUAUCAUGCACUUGUUUAUUUAUCUUCCUUCCUGUUUUUGUUCAAGUCAUUGAUUACUUGGUUGUAUGUGCAGGGCCAUAGAAGUACUAGAUAAUUCAAUUUUCCAAGGUAGAUUGUUGCAUGUUAUGCCAGCGAGACACAAGAAAUCCUCAGACAAACAAGAGUGAGUUUGCUUUUGGAUUCCAGGCUUCAAGGUUUGUGGUUUUACUUAUGUAUGAUGGAACUUGACACUGUUUUCUUUCUAGGCUUCACAAUUCUACAAGCCAGGGGACAAAAACGUUGAAACAACGGAGGGAGGAAGAAAGGAAGGCAUCUGAAGCUAGUGGAAAUACAAAAGCAUGGAAUAGUUUGUUUAUGCGCCCUGAUACGGUAUGCUAACCUAAAAGAAAAAAAGGAGACACGAUUUUUUUCCCCCCUUCCCCUGUCCUAAGAAAUUACUUUUUCGAUGUUGAUUUGUCUUUUAAAAAUUCAUGACCAUUUCACCAUGAAGUAAUUAUUCUAUCAUAAAUAAGGCUCUUUUGUUGUCCUAUUUUGGCCAGAUGUAUAAAGCAGUUGCAUUUCCAUGUCUGUGGUUAUGGUUGAUGUAAAUUUUUCUGUUUGAAUUCUGGCCUCAUUUUUGUGUUUCAUCUUGCCUGUUAAUAGGUUGUAGAAAACAUUGCUAGGAAACAUGGUGUUAGCAAGAGUGAUUUACUUGACCGAGAGGCCAAUGAUCUUGCUGUGCGUAUUGCUUUGGGCGAAACUCAAGUUAUUGCGGAGACCAAAAAAGCUCUUACGAAUGCUGGGGUAAAUGUUUCAUCUUUGGAGGAAUUUUCUGCUGGGAAAACUGAUGGUCUGAAAAGAAGCAACCAUGUAUUUUUAGUGAAGAACUUGCCUUAUGAUUCUUCUGAAGGUGAACUAGCUAAGAUGUUUGGUAAAUUUGGGAGUUUGGACAAAGUUAUUCUCCCUUCAACAAAAACAUUGGCCUUGGUAAGCAUCCUUUUCAGAUCUUAAUUAUUUUCCAUGUAUCCUGUUUUUUGAACAGCCACAGUUGGUGUUUUAAGACUGCUUGUAUGUAGAAUUGAUACCUCCCUAACCUGAUCCUUAUAGAAUGAAUAAAGAGGUCAGGAAAGAAUGCCGAAUGUCAUGAAUAAGUAGGUUGUCAGUGAUUUUCAUCAAUGUUGCAUGUAGCUGACUGAGGAUUUCAUUUUCUAGAGGAUACAGGAUGAAGAUGUAUAAAUCUGGGAAUAUACUGGGACGUUAAAUGUGGCUCUGUAUUAAACUGGGAUUAUGUUGUUUGGUGCAAUGAAGACUAUUCAAUUAAAGACGGCAAAAUGGGCAUGACUUGAGACUGUUACUUAACAGUGUAAUCUGCCAUUUGCAGGAUAUAAAUCUUGUGGUGACAUUUUUUGUUUUUGUUUAUAAGACUGAAGGCCAGGCUUCAUGUUCAAGUGACACUGGUGGCUUUUGAUUGAUGCUUUUCUUUGACACAAGUGGAAUUGGAUGCAACUCCAAUCAUUUAGAGGCGUAACUUACAAUUGAAUAUUGAAACAUAGAGUUUGAUUGCAUUUGUCCUUUUUUUCUCUUAGGAAGCAAUCUGAUUGAGUUGUUGGUGUGCCUCCUGAGACUAAUUUAGACAUUGGUUUACAUAGUUAGACUCGUAAAAAAACUUCUCUUUUUUUUUUUCCCCAUUUUUUACCCCUUGGUCAGUGGCUUUGAAAGUUUAACGAGUGGAUAGAAAAGUAGUUGUUUAGCUUCCAUUCAUUACACUUCUAUUUGGAGUAUUACCUGUAUUAUUCAGGAACAAUUUUUAGAUGUAUUUAAUAAUGAUUGUAUCAAUCUUGCUUCUAGAAAUGCCAAUCUUUGAGGGUUAAGUACUUCAGACUUGACUGAUUUUUAAUUUACUUAACCAUAUAUGGAGAAGAUGCUGCUCUAAAGAACCACAAUUGCUAUAUGCCUGAAUUAAUGCUGUUGUGUAGCCUAAUAGAAUUAGUAUUACAUUUCAGGUUGUUCUCCUCUUUCUUCCCCUCUUAAAUAUCUCCGUGCAUUGUUUUUCAGGUUGUUUUCCUCGAACCAGCUGAAGCAGCUGCUGCUUUCAAGGGUUUAGCAUACAAGCAUUACAAGUAUGUAUAUCUUUGUUUCUUUUAAGGCCAUUGGUUGAGCCCCUUGCAAAAGACAUGGAUAAUCAAUUUUUUAUGUGAAGUCUGACCAAAAGACUUCAGCUUCUAGAUUGGAACAUGGACUUGACCUGCUAACUCUAUAUUAAAUAUUCAAGAAAAGAUUUCUUAGCUAAAACUUUAGAACAUUGAUUUGACUUCACACAGCCAGACAAACACAUUCUCCUAUAUAUGCGUGGUCAGCACACCCGCAAACAGUAGAUAUGUUUGCUUGUUAGAUGCAAUUUUAUUUAUUUAUGUUUUUUUCCCCCCACACAGCAAUACAUCAGUUGUUUAUGAUAAGAAAAUGUAGUAUCGCUUUUGAUAUGAACUACCAUUUACGAUAGCAGAUUAGAUAAGUUUGAGUUGGUUAUUAAAGAAAAAUAACCUUCUGCUGACAACUUUUUCCAUACCUUUUCUUUUUUAAAGUUUUCGUGUUUAUAGGUAGUUAAGGAAUAAAUAAAACAUAUCUGUAGAAAACUGUAAGAGUUCUUUCCUUACUAGACAUUAUAGUAGAGAUGAACGAAAUUGCAACACCCUUUAUGCAUAUCAAGUAGAAUAAUGCUAAGAAUACAAACUCUCAAAAACUAUUUUCUACUAAUUGGCAUGGCACUAUUGUAUGAUUCCCGUGUGGAUUAUAUUAUUUGCUCUUAUUAAAUGGAUUGACUUUUGUGUUUCUGUCCAGCCAAUACUUUAAUGUGAAAUCAGUUUGUAUGUAAUAUUUUGUUCCAAGAGUUUGUGUCUGUAGCAUCUAUCUAUUGAAUAAGAGGCAUACAAUAGCUACUUAAACAGUAUUUUUUUCUUGUAUUGAUAAUGAAGGGGUGUUCCAUUGUAUUUGGAGUGGGCUCCUAGUGAUGUCCUCAGUCAAAGUUCUACUUCCAAGGGUAAUCAAAAGAAUGAUGCUGUGGUUGGUGAACAUGAUGCCAAGAGAGCUCUUCUAGAGCAACAACUGGAAGGAGUAACAGAUGCUGAUAUUGAUCCUGAUAGAGUUGAGGUGUGUCAUAUUAAUGAAUUCUUAUCUUGCUUCUUUUCCCUGUUCUGCUUCAUGCCGUAUAAUUUUUAUGCUAAUUGUUUUCGUGAUUAUGCCUUGUUUUAUCUUGUUCUUUAUGGUCCUUAAACAUGUCAAAUGUAUUCUUUCAAGUUGCUGUUAGUUUAUUGGCCGUAAGGUGGCUGUAGAUGAUUACAAUUCCUCUAGUCAAUAUCUUUGGGUCAUUUUUCUUUGUUCAUCAUUUAUAUGUUGGCGCACAUCGCAAAAAGAUUUUUGUCCAUUUGUCCAUUGCUUGUUGAUUGGAGAUCAACAACAAUGUUGGUAUGAAUCAUGUUAAACCACUGCAUUUGUGAGGUCUUUUCUUUAGAUUUAUAGCCAUCUUUUACUAUUUUAUUUUUAUGUAGAUGUCAUGGAUUUCUGGCAAUCUUAGAUUUGUGUUAUUUGUCUCAUUAUUUUUAUUUUUUUCUAAGUUCAUUCUCCCACGGCCCAACCCCAACACCACCACCCAAAACAACAAAUCCGUAUGUACUCAUUCUGUUGCAGCAUCUUGUUUUUCUUAUGAAUUUAACUAUUCAUCAAAAACAGAGGAAAACAGUGAAUUCUUUCCAUAUGCUUGGAUUCAGCAAUUUCAGUUGCUCAGUACUAUUUGUUCUAUCUGUGAUUUGAAAAGGAGGUUGAUACAUAUUAUAUAGAUUGUGUUGCAUCGUUUUUCUCUUAACUUCACUUUUUACGACAUAUGGUUGCUUCUAGAAAAGUCACAUUAUCAUAUUUCUUGAAUCAUAAAGUGACAAGAGUAAAUCAUAUGCUUACAGUGCUUCGAUAGAAACUUUCUAUCUCUAUGGAUUUGCGGUGUCUUUGCUUUUUGUUUCUGUUUAUGGUUUUUUCAUUCAUUUCUCUUUUUGCCUAUCAUGUUUCAGUCAAGAUCUUUAUUUGUCAAGAACUUGAAUUUUAAGACUUCUGAUGAGAAUUUGAGAAAGCAUUUUGGUGAACACAUCAAGGAGGGAAGAAUUCUGAGCGUCAAGGUAAUUAUCUGGACACUUCAAAGAUAAUACAUGAUUUUCUUGAUUCUUUAAUUCACUCAUUUUAUGGUUCUGUUCCACCCUGUUACAGGUAAAGAAGCACCUGAAAAAUGGAAAGAAUGUUUCUAUGGGGUUUGGUUUUAUAGAGUUUGAUUCUGUGGAGACAGCAACAAAUGUAUGCAGAGAUCUACAGGUGGCUAGCAGAUGCUAAGUUAGGUUAAUAUCAUUAGAAUAUAGUUCAAAAUUUUGGAAACUGAUGCAUCGUCGACAAUGUCUCGUCUCUUUUUUAGGGAACUAUUUUGGAUGGGCAUGCUCUCAUCUUACAACUAUGUCAUGCCAAGAAGGAUGAACAAGUGGUGAAAAAGGCUGAGAAGGAUAAGAGUUCAACAAAAUUACUUGUGAGAAAUGUUGCUUUUGAGGCAUCAGAGAAAGAUCUGAGACAGCUGUUUAGCCCAUUUGGCCAGGUGGUUAUUUUUCUUUUGAUGAGUAAUGAUGCAUUUCAUUAAAAAUGCCUAGCAAGUAAAAAGGAAGGAACAGGACCAUGGAAUCUAAGACAAGUUGGAAAGAGUUAUUGCUAUAUUACAGCAAUAUUAAACUAUUGUUUGAUUAACCAGAUAACGAGACAAAAGUAAAGGUUAUAUGUAGGAUAAUAGAAGUUUUCAAUUAAAUAUCUAAAUUUGUUGCAGGAUGUGCACAGGUAUAAUCCCUUCUCAAGUAUUACCUGCAUUUAAAUUCAUUUCAGCGAUGCCGAAAGACUUAUAUCUGAACUUGCUGGACAUGCUUUUUCUCUUGUUGAUUUCUAUGUUUUUAUAUUUUUUUUGUAGAUAAAGAGCUUAAGGCUGCCAAUGAAGUUUGGAAAUCAUAGGGGCUUUGCAUUCGUUGAGUAUGUAACAAAGCAAGAGGCGCAAAAUGCACUUGAAGCACUUUCAAACACCCAUCUCUACGGUCGGCAUCUGGUAAGCUGUCUGCCAGUUCUUAUAGAUAUUCUCUGUUGCACAUGAUCAGAUAAUAUCUAUAAUUGCCCCCACAUUUCAGGUGAUGGAGAGAGCAAAGGAAGGGGAGAGUCUGGAAGAAUUGCGGGCUCGAACUGCUGCUCAGUUUACCGAUGAGGUAAAUGGGUUUCAAAAUUCAACUAAGUUGUCUAAGAAGAGGAAGCACAUGACAAUCUUGGACGAAGGUACAAUGAAGUUUGAAAGAAUUGCUGAGUAGACUGCUUUAUAUGAAUUUUUCUCGUGUGUUGAGAGAAAUGAGGUUUGUCAUGUAGUUACUUUUUAAGGUUUAUUAAUUAUAUUAUAAGUUAUGUUGGCUCCAUUUUUGUCUGUUGGGAGUCAAUAUCUGUUUGUAAUUGUUUCUUGUAGGUGAGGGAACAAAGCAUAUUUUGUAGAAUUUCUUGAUGUAAAUCAUCUAGAUAUGUCAUAGAAGAGUUAAAAUUUUCAGAAAUUUCUUAUUGUUUUACUCCACUGUUUUCUAUUGUUUAAUGCAAAAGUUUUGAUUGCCUCUUCUAAUUCACUUGGGAUUUAGUUCCCUCCUAAACAAAAUUUUAGUUGGAUGCAAAUGGGUUAUAUGAAUAAAUAAAAAAAAAAUAUAUAUAUAUUCAGAUGUUAGCCGUCAUUGCUAGAAACCAAGAUAAGCAUCCGUUUCAUUGAUGUUGGUUUGUCAUCACCGAUACUUCCGGUCCUUGGUUAAACUAACUACAAUUCAAGAGGGUGUCGUUUAUGCUAACUUCUUCUCACGUUUGUAGAUUACGAAACUUCUUCUCAUGUCAAAUAAGUUUUCUGUUGAUCCUUGAAGGAAUCAUUCUCUUUAGCUCUUCUUCAAAUCUCUUCAUACUCGGCCUCGGCGAACGUAUAGGAAUGGGAGUCCCAGUCUCCCCAUCUUCUUUUUGGUACCUGUUUAAGUAACUAAAAAUAGACUUAGCACCAGCAAUCCCAGCAAAAACUGGUUUCCUCCACCCCAAAUCAAUUCUAUCAAAUCCGACCUGCUUAAAUCGGACACAUUGUAGUUCCCCUUAAUCGGGUACCUCGGCCGUCGCCCUUUGACCUCAAUAAGAUACGCCGCAGAUCUUAUAUGCUCUUUACUCAUUUCAGCCUUUGCUUUUUUCACCAGUGCAACAGCAUACCCUAAUGGAUUGUUGCAUAAAGCACCGCCCUUCAAACGCACAGCUGGGAAUGCCACUGCGUUACCAUAAUACCCAGAGCGUCAACUAGACAUGAAAAUUGAACAGUGUAUUUAGGGUCUAGUUGAAGUGCAAUUGUUCUACAUCUCCACAUACAAGCAGCCAACAACUCAAAUGUUGAACACACUUGGCCUUUGGCCAAGUGUUAAGAGCUACUCCCUCAUAAGUGUGAGGGUAGCAGUUCGAACCUCAACAAAAACAGUUUUCUCCCCACAAAAGCAUUUGUGGGGGUUUAAUUUGAGUGAAGGCAGUCAGACAGUCUUCUCCCUGUCCCUCAAAUAUCAGCGAGAGAUUUCUAAGGUGUAAUGGAAGUUGAUUUUUGGAUUGGUACCUAUGAACGUAUCACACUUGUGGUUGAUUUCUAGUGCAUAAGCGUUCCCGUUGCCCAACAGGGAAUAGGGAAGGUGUGUUUGAACCUCUUGCCAUCUCCUGUAUGGUUUUCACAAAUUGCACCAGACCAAGUUCAUCACACAUAUUGUGGUUGAAAUGUAUCGCAAGAGUGAAUCCUCCACACAUCAAACGAGUCACCUACACAUAUGAAACAAAGAAAACCAUGAAAUUUAAUGAUUAAAUACUUAAAAAGUACAGAAUUAUGUAAUAUAUAGAAGUAAGAAUGACCUUUUGGUCCCUAAUAUUUUACAUUUUUACCACUAAAUUAGGACCAUUUUUCAUUUACUCACUAUAUUGGACAAUGUAAUUUUAAAGAAAAUUAUCGAUGGUCCACUGAAUUUUUAUAGAAAGUUCCAAAUACUCAAAUUCUUUAAAAAAUAUUUCUUUUUUUGAGGAGUUUAAAAAAUAUUCUUUAAAAAAUAUUUCUUAUCUACUUAAGUUUUCGAAUUGUAUUAAGAAGCACUUUUCUGUGAACUCAAUGAGAUAAUUUAGUGCAUCUUUGUAAAAAGACUAAUAAAAAUAAUGUUCAAUGAGUACACUUGACUUAAAGAACCCAAAACAAUGUGUUUUCUUUGUUAUAAUGUUAUAAUGUAAUAGGUAAUUGAAAAAUAUAUAUGAAUGAGAAAAAAUAGUGAGAAUAUAUUUUUCUUAUUCAUACAAGUUGCAAUCUUUACAUUAUAUACUUGUUUGACUAGGCUAUAUAAGGAAGCUAUAGGAAACUAGGAAAAAUAAAUAUAUGCUAUACAAGGAAAAAAUAAAUACAUGUACACAAAAUUAGGAUAUAAUCUUUGACUUUCAACACUCCCCCUCAAGCUGGCUCGAAGAUAUCUAUCAUUCCCAGCUUGGAAUUCAGUGAUUGAAAAACUUGUUUUGAUAAUCCCUUGGUGAGAAUAUCAGCUACUUACUUUUGAGUAGUAAUAUAUAGAAUGCAUAUUAGGCCUUUCUCCAGCUUCUAUUUUAUAAAGUGUCUAUCAAUCUCGAUAUGUUUUGUCCUAUCAUGUUGGACUGGAUUAUGAGCAAUGCUAAUGGCAACUUUAUUAUCACAAUACAAUCUCAUUGAUUCAGUUUUCCACACCUUCAACUCUAUUAGAAACAUUCUCAGCUACAUAAGCUCGCAAAUUCCCAAUGCCAUUGCUCUAAACUCAGCUUCAGCACUUGAUCUUGCAACCACUGGUUGUUUUUUGCUUCUCCAAGUAACUAGAUUUCUCCCAACAAAUGUACAAUAACAUGAUGUUGACUUUUUAUCAACAAAUGAUCCAGCCCAAUCUGCAUCUGUAUAUGCCUCAACCCUUAGGUGAUUAUUCUUAGAUAAUAAAAUGCCUUUUCCUGGAGAUGUCUUUAAAUAUUCCAGUAUCCUAAACACAACUUCCAUGUGCUCUACAUUAGGAGAAUGCAUAAAUUGACUCACAACGCCUACUGCAAAUGUAAUGUCUGGACGAGUAUGACAUAAUAGAUUAGCUUUCCAACUAAUCUUUGGUACUGUUCCUUAUUAACCAACCUGCUUUUAGUAGUUGCCCCAAGUCUAUGGUUGGAUUCUAUAGGAACAUCGCUAGGUUUGCAUCCUAACAUCCCAGUUUCUUCCAAGAGAUCCAGAAUGUAUUUCCUUUGUGACAAAAAUAUACCUUUCUGAGACCUAGCCACUUCAAUUCCGAGGAAGUAUUUCAGAGAACCUAGGUCUUUAGUUUCAAACUCUUUGGUUAACAACAUCUUGAGUCUUUCAAUUUCAUCUCUGUCAUUUCCAGUCAAGAUGAUAUCAUCCACAUAUAUAAUAAGGACAAUGAGCUUAUCUUCUUUACCAUGCUUAAGAAACAUGGUAUGAUCAUUAUGGCUUUGUCGAUAUCCACAUUUGAGAAUAAAUCUUGUAAAUCUGUCAAACCAGGCUCUUGGUGAUUGCUUGAGCCCGUAUAAAGACUUUUCCAGCUUGCAAACUUUUCCUCUUUCAAACAUAUUCUCAAACCUUGGUGAUGGAUCCAUAUACACCUCCUCUUCUAAAUCUCCAUGGAGAAAUGCAUUCUUCACAUCUAGCUGUUGUAAUGGCCAUUCUAAAUUUGCAACAAGUGACAAUAGGACCCGAUUAGAGUUCAUUUUUGCAACGGGGGCAAAUGUCUCUUGGUAAUCAAUUCCAUAUGUUUGAGUAUAUCCCUUAGCCACCAGCCUAGCCUUGAAUCUCUCAAUUGAUCCAUCAGCCUUAUGCUUAACUGUAAAUACCCAUUUACAACCCACAAUUUUCUUUCCAGAAGGCAAGUCUGCAAGACCCCAAGUUCUAUUUUUAUAUAAUGCUCUUAGUUCUUCAUGAAUCGCUUCUCUCCACUUUGGAUUUGCAAGAGCAUCAUGUACUGUUCUAGGAAUAGUUACAGAUGACAAAUUAGUAGCAAAAGCUUUAAAUGAUGGUGACAAUCUAUGAUAAGAGACAAACUUAGAAAUAAGAUGUUUAGUACAAGUUCUAACACCUUUUCUAUGAGCAAUAGGCAAAUCUAAAUCUAAAUCAAGUGAUCGAAUAGAGUUUAAAUGCAAUUUAGACUCAGAUUGAACAGUACCUGUGUCUUCCAAUACCUGUAUGUUCGGUUCAGAAUUUUGGCAGUCAGGAGAUGUACAAAUUAUUUUAUUUCGUCGAGAAUAUACCUUUAGCUUUUGAGUAUCCUCUUGAUUUUGUGCGGUGGAUGGUUGAAUUUGUGAAAACACUUGCUGGUCAUCACUUGGGUCAGGCUGUUUUUGUGGGGAAGAACAAUGUUGUUCUUUUUGCUAAUUGUUAUUAGAAGGUGGUAGAUUUUGUGGAGAGCAAACUAUCAAAGGUGGAGUUGAAUUUGUGAUAUCAUCUCUGAAAUAUAGCUCAUCUGAGUGUGUGGAUUUUGGAAAAAAUUUAAAAAACUAAUCUUUAAUAUUAUAUUCCUCCCCUAAAGAGAGGUUUUGGAGAAAUAAUGGUUAAUUUAAAAAAAAGUCACAUCCAUGGUUACAAAAUAUUUCCUAGUUGGAGGAUGAAAACACUUGUACCCUUUUUGUGUAGGAGAAUAACCCACAAACACAUAUUUAAGAGACCUAGGAUCAAGCUUACUUUUGUUAUGAUUCUUGUCAUUAACAACAACAACACACCCAAAAACCUUAGGAGGAAGAGAACUAAAGGACCGAGACAUGGGAUAAAGUUGCUGAAGAAGUUCGAUUGGAGUUUUAAACUUCAAAGUACUAGUAGGCAAUCUAUUUAUGAGAUAACAGGCAGUUAAAACUGCUUCACCCCACAAAUAAUUUAGUACCCCCAUAGUAAACAUCAAAGAUCGAGCAAUUUCAAGUAAAUGUCUGUUUUUUCUUUCUGCAACUCCAUUUUGUUGAGGAGUAUCAACACAAGAGGAUUGAUGAAUAAUUUCAUUCUCAGUCAAAUAAUUUCCCAACAUAGAAGAAAAAAAUUAUUUGCCAUUGUCAGUUCGAAACACUUGAAUUUUUGUUUGAAAUUGGGUUUGAACCACUUUACGGAAGAUUUGAAAAGUUUUAGAAACUUCAGAUUUUUCUUUUAAUAAAUACACCCAACAAACUCGAGUGUGAUCAUCAAUAAAAGUGACAAACCACUUAGCUCCAAAAUUAUUGGGAAAACAUAGAGGACCCCAUACAUCACUAUGUAUAAGAGAGAAUGGUUGUGAAACUUUGUAAGUUUGGGCAGAAAAUGAGUACGUUGAUGCUUGGACAGUUCAGACACUUCACAUUUAAAAUUAAUGUCACUUUUAUUCUUAAACAAUGUCGGGAAUAACAACUUUAAAUAUGAAAAAUUUGGAUGUCCUAAUCUGAGAUGCAUCAAACUAAUUUCAUUCUCACUAGGCACUUGAGAAACAAUUUUGUCAACUAAAGAUAGAUUACUCAAAGCUUCAGGCUUCUCUUCGAAAUAAUAAAGUCCAUCCACCUCCUUAGCACUGCCAAUCUUCUUCCCUGUACACAGGUCCUGAAAUUCACAAUUGGAAGAAUAAAAUUUAGCCAUACAGUUAAGGUCUUUUGUAAGUUUACUGACAAACAAAAGAUUACAAGACAGAUUAGGGACGUGCAAUACUGAUUUUAAGAUCAUUGUUUUAGAAACUGAAAUUGAACCUUUUCCUGCAACUGAAGAAAGAGACCCAUAAGCGAUUUUCACAUUUUGUUUACUAGAAAGUGGUUUGUAAGUAGAGAAUAAGUUGGACAAACCAGUCAUAUGAUCGGUUGCCCCUGAAUCAAUGAUCCAAGGGCAAGAAGUAUUUGAAGAGAUGCUGAAAGCAUUUAGAAAAUUACCUAUUUGGGCUAGAUGAGCAGAAGGUGUUUGACUCAUGAACCUGACAAGUUGCUCAAGUUGUUCUUUAGUGAACAGAUUUGAUCCCUGACCCCCUGAGUUUGCAUUGGCAUUAUCAAUUGCAUCUUGAAAGCCCUUUGAAUUUUGUCCAGAAGACUUGAUACCUUUCCCUGAGUUUUGUAGCCUUUCAUGGAGCUUCCAACAAAACUCUUUGGUAUGUCUUGGGUUAUGGCAAUGAUCACACCAAAGUUUAUCUAUGUCAUCUUUCUUCUUGCUCAUAUUCUUUUGUUCACUUACCAAUGCUGAAUCAGUAGCACAAGUAAUCAAGGCAGAAUUAUCAGUAUUAGAGCUAUUCGUCAUUAUCUUUUUUCUACUUUCUUCCCUUCUCACAUAUGCAUAGACUUCCCUAAUUGCGGGAAUAGGUUCUUUGCUUAGUACUCGUCCUCUAACUUCAUCCAAAUAUGGAUUCAAACAAGCCAAAAAUUCAAACACCCUCUCCUUCUCCCGUAACUUCUUAAAUCUUUUACUGUCAUCUCUACACUUCCAUUCUCCAUCAUAAUACAAACCCAAUUCUUGCCAUAAGCUAUUCAUGAUAUUGUAAUAUGCAGUCAUAAUGUCACUUCCUUGUUUGGUUUCAUGAAUACGAUACUUAAGUUCGUACAACUGUGCAGUAUUUCCAAGAUCAGAAUAUGUCUCUGUGACUGCAUCCCAUAAAUCUCAUGCUGAUGGUAAGAAAAGAAACGCAUGACUAAUGUGAGGAUCCAUUGAAUUAAUAAGCCAUGACAUUACCAUAGAGUUCUGUUCAUCCCAUAUUUUAUACGAAGGGUCAUCAGCCUCUGGUAUGUCUAUUGACCCAUCAAGAUAGCCCAUUUUACCUUUUCCCUUCACAUACAACUUCACAGACUGUGACCACUGCAGAAAAUUCUGGCCAUUCAAUUUGUGAGUUGUAAUCUGUAAUGACGGAUUGUCAACAUAAUUAUUGGCUUGAACAUGUUUAACAUUGAAGCCAGAGCUGGAUUCGCUCACAUCUGACAUUUUAAAUCAGAAUUUUAAAGUCACAACGUAAGAUAAAACCCUAAAGGUAUUGGCGGCUGAAAAUUUGUUGAAAAAAAAAAAAUUGCCCAGAAACCCUAACUUGGGCUCUAAUACCAUGAGAAAAAAUAGUGAGAAGAUAUUUUUCUUAUUCAUAGAAGUUGCAAUCUUUACAUUAUAUACUAGUUUGAAUAGGCUAUAUAAGGAAGCUAUAGGAAACUAGGAAAAAUAAAUAUAUGCUAUACAAGGAAAAAAUAAAUACAUGUACACAAAAUUAGGCUAUAAUAUUUGACUUUCAACAAUGAACCUAUCCAACUUAUGAAAGUGACAUAGUAGAGACCUAAAUGCAUCCUCAAACUAUUUAUUUUGAGUAUGCAUGUGAAGUAAAUUCAAUGGUUAGGAAAUAAUAGACUCACUUCAAUUAAGAGCAAUGGGCAACCAAGAAUGCCUUCAGAACAUGGAACAUUAUAGAUCAAUUGUUCCAAAUAUGGGCAUGGAGGCUGAAUAGCAUCACCAAGCUGCUCAAGUUUGAAGUUAGCUUCAACCUCAAGAAACAAGAUCCCUUCACCAUUGCAAUCCACCAUAAGCUUGCGGUUGGGACCUUCUUUAAUCCUACCAGCAAAAGGGUAAUAAUACACAAGUGCUUCACUUAUAGCUUCCUUGAUGACCUUCAUCUUUUUCUCUGAGUAUUAGAGGUGAUGAUGAAGGGUUAUUCUUGUAAAAGAUUAUUUACUGGAAUAUGAAACCUGAAGCUUUCUUGGUCAUCUAUAUCCGGAAAGUUGUUUUAAUUCAUGCGGUGUUGCCCUUGCCGGAAAAAUUAAUUCUGGUGCCUUUCUGGUUAUUGACAAAACUUGAGAAAAUCUUGAGAUCAUUUUAAAGGUGCGUUUGGAAGUGAUGUGUAGUAGUUGGGCUGCUAAAGCCCAACUGCUAAGGUGUUUGAUAACACCUUGUAAGUUGUAACCGAGUUUUGGUAGGUUAGUAGCCUUUUUUUUUAAAAAAAUUUUAUUCCAAAGCUAUGAUUUUUACUUCAUAGCAGUUAUAUCUUAAAAACUACAGUCCCAAACGUACCCUAAUUUAAGUUUCUAGAUUAAUUGUUUUGGCAAGGCUUGAACUGUUUCACUGGUUGCCUUGGCCUCCAAAAUUUUUCAUUUAUAGCUGAAGAAAGAAGCACGUGUGUACCGCGUAUGGAAACUGACUAUUACCAAAUUAUGCAAAUUUCCUGCCAUUUCGUGAUAUUGGACGAUAUAUAGACAAAUUAAGACCAAUUUAUGGCACGUGGUACAUAAUCUUUAAAAUCAACUUCAGCAAAAAUAUUCUUGAUUGAUUAGGGGUACGAUAAUUUAUUUGUAUGGACAGAAAGUGUCCGUCGAUAUUAACAUUUGUUUUCAACUUGAUUAAUUUCGAAAACAAUUAUAAUUUGCACCUAGGGCUUGGCAGAGUGGUUGUCAACGCAUUUCUUCUUUGAUUGGGCAUCCGAAAUUUGAAUUUUAGCUUAAUAAUAAUAAUAAUUUAAACUCUGUCCAUUCUUAUUUAUACUUUGUUAUGAGAAUAUUUGGUUGGUUACAAUGGUUAUUUUGAAACACUGAACCAUCACCUAUUUUAGCAUUCCAAGUUAAAAAUAUAGAUCAGUUUUGAAGAAAAAUAUGGAACACUACUAGAAAAAUGGUCUUUACUAACAUUAGAAUAGUGUCAGUAAUUACUUUUAGUGACACUUGCUAAUUGUGUCAGUAAUAUGGCAGUCAGAAAAAUAGUGACACUUGUAAGUGGUGUCAGUGAUUACUAUUACUAUAGCAUCACUAAAAUCAUAACACCAUGGUAUCAAAAUAUUACAAUACUAUAUUAGUAUUUGUGAUUACUAUUACUAUAGUAUCACUACUUUAUGUAUUAUUUUAAAAAAUAAUUAUAUAAAAUGACAUAUUGCCCAUUGAUUUGUUGAUAUAAUUAAAAGGCUGUGAGAAAUAAGAACAAAAAUCAAUUUAUUUAUCAAAACCUUUCAUAACAUUUAAAUAUUAUCAAUAUAUAUUACACAAUCCAAAUACUUUAAUACACAAAGACAUCUUACUACAAGACAUCUUAUUCUUAUAAUUGAAUAAUCUUAACUGCUAUUAUCCAAUCAAAUUUCUUCUACUCGUAGAUGAAUUUAAGGGCUAAAUUUACCAAAUCUAAAAGCUAAAUUUAGAAGGAUUAUUAUUUUUCACUCCAUGAACAUAAGUACUGCAAUCAUGCAUUAUCACGUACAUCUUCUUCAUUCACGGACAACUUCUUCAUUCGAUAAAUUUGAUGGGUUAGGGAUAUAAGUUGAAGAAGAAACACUUUAAACAUAUUAAUCAUAUCUGCAAACAAAUAAAAGAAAAAGGAAAAGAAAUUGGUUGCCAAAUUCCAACAGUUGCAAAAUAAAUUAACAAGCAAUACAGAGACAAAAGUUAAUAGAAAUAAACAUAUUUUGCUCGAAAACAAAAAAAAAUUUCAUAAGCUAUGAACAGAUCAACUCAAUUAUCUUAAAGGAAAAUUAGAGAAUAAGAAUGUUGUAGCUCAUUUGAUUAGAAAUAAGGUAGAAUAUAUUUAACUAUAGAUAUAAAUUAAAAAAAAAAGGUGAUGCUGAAUUCAUUCUCUUAUAUAUAUAUGAAUAAGAGAGAGUGAGAGAGCAAAUUAUAGCAUUCAAAUUUUCAGUAUAACAUCUAGUUUCAAGAAAGUGUAUUUAUUUCUCAUUAUAUAAAAAAUAAUGAUUUUCCAGCUAAAAAAAAUUCAUAAUAAAAUUUAAUAUCUAAUACAACAUAGUAUGUUUUUUUUUUUUCAAAAAAAUGCUUGCAAUUAUGUCUUUUAGCCACCAAGCCUAAGUGUGAGAGUAAAGCAUUUAACUCUUGAUAAUUACACACUUUCUGCAUAAUGCAAUUAGUGUCAAUUCAUUCUAAAUUACUCUACUUGAAUAAUAAAACAUUUCAGCCAUUGUAUUGAUGGAGCUACUAAUCCAGAAUAUUCACAAUAAAUAUAGGGUUCAAGGCAAUUAAGAGAUGUACCUCUUAGGGCUAUGCAUAUUCUCUAUCUUUCUAAGGCAAUCUUUAAUUCAUAUAGUUCCACCCCCUUUGAAUUCACAAACCAAGACUUUACAAACAAAGGCCUUAUAUCAUUAAUCUUAAUACCUUUUUACCAAAAAAUCACUAUAUUCAUAAAUAAAAAUCACAAGUUAACGCUUUAACCUCGUGUUGGGCUGUCUUAGUUUUCACAUGACAGAGGAAUCUACGAUAAUGUGUAUGUUUUCCUGAGAAGAAAAAGGAACAAAAAAUAGGGAAAGGAAGUCAAGACUAAAAAAUAAUUAUUCAAUAAGCUGAAAAAUUAUCAUAUAUCAUGCAUGUUUUACACAAUCCCCUUAUAAAGUUGAAAAAAAAACUACUUUAUUUUACACAAUCAAACGAUUUUAACAGGAAACAUAACUUAGUAGGACAAGAAUGCAGCUAAAUUAUGAAAGCCAUUUUGCUUGCAGAUAUUAAUUAGACAUUUCAGUUUUUCUUAUAUUUUUCACAAUUUGAGCAGCUUUACUUUAAUUUUAUCAGGAAUCGAGUAUGGCGAUGUCACAAAAAGAAAGCAUCAGGGGGUUUGCAACAGACAGCAAAAUCAUUCAAGAAACUAGUGAGUUAGAGAAAAGCACUUGUGCAACAACUGAAGCAGAUCUCAUUGAGCGCCCAUACACACCAGUUCAAACUGGCGAUGAGUUUGCGCCAAAAUGUUUUGAGCAGUAAGGAACCAUAGAAACUCCACAGAAAGCAAAGAUUAACCUCGAAGGAGAGCAACAACCACAAGAAUCAGGGGAAACAAAAACUGAGGAAUCAGCAUUGAUGGACUCAGCUACAGCUUCAUUGACUGACCCCCUUCAGAGCUCCAUAAUUGAAACUACGAAAGUGGCUGAACAAGUCGGCGAAGGGAGAGAACCAAAAGGCAGCACUGAAGAAAAUCAAACCAAAGAACCAGAAGCCAUUCAUGUAGAAGAUGCAAAAAUGGAUGAAGAACAAGACGAAGAUGAACAUAAAAGGAUAGACUCAAGCUCUGAUGCUCCGGUCAUGAUUGAAGCGAAAAGAGGUGCUGUGGAUGUUAGGGUUGCACAACUUGGUCACUGGCAAAGGAUGAGGAACCUAUUUGAAAUAAACUGAAACUAAUGUAUCGUUAUUUACUAAAAAUAAAAAUAUAGGGAACUCAAUGUUAUUCACUCGAUAAUCAAAUAUUUCGAUUUCUCAUAGUUACAUGUCACCUCUCGCAAGUCACAGGACUCGUCGUGACUCGAGUCGCUUCCUUCCCUCUUGCUUGCAGUCUCCGCCCAUUUUUGUAGCACAGAAAAAAAAAAAACUAAUUUUCAUUUUUCAAUUCAAAGUCUGUGACUCUCAUCGAUCCAUAUAACACAACAAAACAACAAAAUUUAACACGGAAAAAAAAAGGAAUGUGUAAGCAAGUAUCCAAGAGAAUAGAAGAAAACCGAGCUUACUGAGUUACUUGGAGCUCCGAGACCUUUCGAAGAUCGAAUUAGCGGAAGAAAACAAAACUUCAGCUAACAAGAAAUCCCGAGAAGUCGAAGCGAGAGGGGCGGUGUGCACUCGAGUAGGGUGAGCAAAAUGUGGAGAUCUAAAGCGGGUCUUGUGAGCUUGUGGCAUAGCGGCAUGGUGGAUGUUUUGCAUAAUGUAGAUCGUUAGGGUUUCGUAUGGUAUGGGUCUUAGAAUUUGAGCAGUGGUGUUAGGAUUUCUUAUGGCAUGGACCCUUGAAUUUUAGGGCUCGAAGUUUUAGAGGUAUGAAGAAGAAGAAGGAUAUCGCCAGAGAGAUGAGGCGGCUGACCAUGGAUUUAGGAGUUAGGGAAUUUUAUGUUUAUGUUGAUUUAGGGUUUCUUGCUUUUGCUUUUAUAUUGUUGUUUUCUAUAUUAAUUUAAUUUGAUAAUUUCAACAUGUUCAACACAAACUAAUGUAUGAAUUUGGCCUGGUGGUUUGUUCGUUGAACAUAAAGCACUUUAGUUUUGAGGUCCUAGGUUCGAGUCGCAACUAAAACAAAAAUAGAAUUUUUUUUUUGUUUUGUUUCUGAUACCUUAGUGUUAACAAUCUCUGAUGUUUAAUGUACAAACACCAUAGAAUCAGUAAUUUGUGACACUUGUUUGUUAAACACGGAAAAUGACCCAAAUAUAUGUAAUUACUGAUACUUUUUAGAAAAGUGUCACAAGACAAAUAUCAGUAAAAGCUAUUUUUCUAGUAGUGGAAGCGAGAUCAAGAGUAAUGUUCUUGGAGUACGCAAGAAUACUAUGUAUUGAAUAUAAUGUGAUGAAGGUGUGUCUUGUAAAAUUAGGACCCUAUUGAAUAUGAUAUGACGAGGUGGUGUGCUGUAAAUUAGGAGGCAAGUUUUCCUUGCAAUAAUUCCUGCAACACUUGUCUAAUUGUGCUUGUUCCUCUAAAUAAGUGGAAGUCUUUUUUUGUGUAAACUUGCACAAUCGAAUUUGAGAGUUAUUCUGACUUCAAUAAUAUCAGACAGCAACCCGCUUCUGCUUUAUAUUUUACAUUGAACUAUAGUUGCCUUGACUUUAAUAAAUCUCAAAAAUACAAAUAAGAAGACUUAUCCUAAUUAAGUUCUUACAUUGAACUAUAGUGGGAUCUCCCAAUUUAAUUAAGAGUGAUGCUACUGACACUCCUCUAUAUCUCUUAUGAAACUCGUCUUGUUCUUUAUUCACAAAUUUGUAAAACUUAUCUAAUUAAACCCACCUAUGUUUUCUUAUUUUUUCUCCAUUAUAAACUCAUUAAAUCUAUAAAAUUUGAAAAAAAAAUGAAUUGUUAUAGAAUAAGAAUUUGAUCAAAAUAUAAACAAAGUUUUUGUAGGAAAGAUAAUUUGGUAAAGUUUAUUUACUUAGGCCAAUUUUUUUUUUAAAGAUUUGCACACAUGUCUUUAUGUAUAUAUCAAGGUUAUUACCUACUAGAAAAAAAUAAAGUAAAUAGAGAUAAAAAUAAGAAAUUUAUGAAUGUUAUAAUUAAGAAGAUAUUGAAAGUGGCUUGAAAUGGGAGAAGGGUGAGAGAGAGGGCCUAAUAAUUUUUUUUUUUAAAGUAUUGAUACAAGAGUUUAUUAAAAAAAUACAACAAAUGAAUAUUAUUUUAAAAAUUAAGAAGAAUAUGCAGAGAAAAUGUGUUUUAAAAGAACCUUAGGAGUGUGCCCAUAGUCAAACUCUUUAAUUAAUGUGCAGGAUUUCCUGGCACAAGUGACAUAACAAUGUGGGAUCCUGAUACAUAGGGGCUGUUUGUUUCUUUUUUGCCUUUUCUUUUUUAUUGAAAUUUACUGUCCCAUCAUACGCAGUAAAUAUUGUUGGAGUUGGAAACUUAUAAGAAAAGCGUGAGAUCGCACGCUAAAAUUAUCCUUUGCAUAAAUAGAGAAAUUAGUUCAGAGUCUUUAUUGAGUUUUUUUUCCCUUAUCACAAAGUAUCGGUUGGUGUGAUUUUUUCUCCAAUUAUUAGUGAGAGUAAAUUUUUAAAUUAUAUUUAAUACGCAUCUGAAUUUUAUUACAAAUUAUUCUCAAUAGAUCUCAAAUUACAAAUAUAUCAUUAUAUUGUAAAAAUUAAUUUAAAAAAUUGACAAGCAUCCAACCGCACGUUUUUCAUACGUUCAUUUGUGAAAUAAAAAUACAUUAAUAUUUUACUCCGAAAUAACAUAUUUUUUUCGCGAAGAUGUCUUCUUUCGUUUUCGCCAUAAAUGAUCGCAACGUUAAAGGUGGGGCUGGUCACAAGCAUUAUUGUACUAUGUUUAAUUUGAGCCACCCAAAUUGCAAAACAAAUGGAGUUAUUUUUUAUGAGUCAGUUUGUCAUCACUCGUUCUGCGGUUUGAAAGUGGCGAAACGAGAGAUAAAGACAAAGUAAAAAAAAUAUAUAUAUUAGCAGACAAAUGAUGCCGACAUUACACUCCUGGUCUGGUGCAAUGCAUGAUUUUUAAUCAUAAUUUUAAUUAUUUUUAUUUUUAUUUAUAUUGAAAUACGGUCUCGUUCCAAUAAUAAAUAGCAGUCACUUUAAGACUCCGAUCCAAAUUCGAUGAUGCGUGAAUUAAUGAAAAAAAAAAUGUUAGUGAAAGUGUUAGAGGCUCUCGGGUUGACUUGGUUACCACUAUAAAUGGAACACUCUGGGGGAGCAAAUGGUAAGUUUAAGUAACUCAGUCCCUUGAUGGCAACUAAAUUUUCUCAAGUUCUAUCAGUUACCCAGAAGGCACCGGAACUAAUUGCUCCGGCCAGGCCCAGACCAAGAGAAGUGAAGCAACUUUCAGAUAUUGAUGACUAAGAAAGCCUACGGUUCGGAUACCAAUAAUUUUCCUCGACAAGAAUGACCCUUCACCUUCGAUGCAAGGAAGAGACCCUGUUAAGGUAAUUAAAAUGGCAAUAAGUAAAGCACUUGUGUUUUAGUAUCCUUACGAUAUACAUACAUGCAAAAGCAGUUAUUUGUAGUUAUUUUAGGACUGCCACUUUUUUUUUUUUUUGCAGGUGUUUCCUAAAUCUUCCAUUCAAAAUAGAACUCUUCCUAGGUUGGUUCGGUUCUGAAUCGAACUGAAACGAUCUUUUUUUUUUUUUUUAUAAAAUAUAAUCCGAACCAAUUCUCAAUUUGGUUAAGUCUUUUUGAUUUCAAAUCAUAAAUUCCUUUGUAUUUUAUGAUUUUUUUAUAUAAACUGAAUUUUUUUUUUUUUAAAACUGAACUGAAUCAAACUAAACUGUCAAUUCGGUUCGGAUUUUACGGGAGCAGCGAUUUUUUUACCGCGUAAGUGUAAUCAAAAGCAAGUAGUUGAGUGGGGCAAGUUUUUGCUUUCGCCUUAAGGAUUAAUAUAGUAAAUAUACUCAUUCGAGUAGUUAAGUCUACAGUAAAAAUAAAUGUAAAAAUAAAUAGAAAACAAAUUAACCGUUAUGAUUUAAUUAUGCAAAGGCAGUAUACAUAUUUAUCAUAAAUGAUCAUGAAAUGUGAUAAAACUCAAUUGUUUUGAAAUAUGAUAAAUAUGUAUAAUUAAAUUAUAGUUGUUAAUGCGUUGUCUACAUAUCUUCACUGUUGGCUUGGCUACCUUAAUUUUCUUAAAAAUAAUAAUAAUAAAUUAUUAUUUGCGUCAAAGUGUUGAUUCAUUAAGAAAAUGAUAUUAUCACAACAGUAAGAACAACACUGAGUACCAAAUGCUGUGUUUUGUGUCAAUAUAAAGAAUCAUUCUUGUGCUCAAAACGCAACACUCUCGGUUUUCUUUCUCUCUCUCUCUCUCUCUCUCUCUCUCUCUCUUGUCUCGCUCCCUCACACACUCUUUAUUACAUCUCGCUCCCUCUCUCUCUCGGCUAUCUCUCUCUCUUGUCUCGCUCAAUUUUCCUCGAUUUGUCCUCAUCAAUUUUCUCAAGUCUUCAACUUCAAUGGCUUUUUCCAUAUACUUUAUUUCUACAAAAUGAAUAUAAUUCAUAUUAACAAACUGAAAACAACAAAAGAUUGCGAAAGUGAGCCACAUACAAGUUAGAUAUGCUAUAAAUUAUAAAAAUAAUCAUGUAUUGCAAAUUAUUAUAUGGCUUUAAAAAAAUGUCCAAUUCUUUGUUUCCUCUAUAAAUUUUAUAAUCCGAACUGAUUCUCAAUUUGGGUUAUUUUUUUCAGUUUUAAGUCGUAAAUUCUUUUGUAUUUUAUAUUUUUUUUAUAUAAACUAUUUUUUUUUUAAUUGAACUAAAUCUCAAUAAACUGUCAGUUCGAUUCGAUUUUCAUGGGAGCAACUUUUUUUUAACCCACCCCUACGUGUAAUCAAAAGCAAGUAGUUGAGUGAGAGGCAAGUUUUUGCUUCGGCCUUAAGAACUGAUAUGGUAAAUGGGUGUGGAUAUUUCCACCCCAUUAUUUUUAUAAAUCCACCCCACCUUCAUAAAAUAAUUACAAUAAGUUCACAUUAUUUUAUAAAAUUAUAAAUUAAUAAUAAUUUUAAAUAAUUAAUUAAAUCAAUCUUAUAAUAUUUUUUUCUUACUUUGUCUUUCAACAAUCUUUAACAAUUUAAGGUUGUUUUAAGAUAAGUUUAAUUUAACUAAUUUACCCUUAUAAUAUAAAAUAACCAAAUUACCCUAAGAAAUAUAUAUAUUAUUGUAACUUAUUGUUUAGGCAUUUAGUUUUAUGUUUUAUAAUCUAAUAUGCCUUAUAUAAAAUUUAAUAAUUUUCAAUACUUCAGAUGUCCUAAUUACAUCUCGUUAGUUUAGUGGAAUAUUAAUAAUCAUACUAAACAACACUACUUAUACAUUAGUAAAAUAUAAAAAAAAAUUGUAUAAAAAUUUAUUAAAGUUAAAGUAAAUUUUUAGAUAUUUUUGGUACUUUUACCUUAUAAGGUUAGAAUAAUUAUAUUAAUUUAUGUUAAAACAACCUUAUUGAUCAAAUAUAAUAAAAAAAACAGUCUCAUAAAAAAAUAAUUAAUGAAUAUGGAUUUAAUUGGUUAAAUUGUUAAAUUUCUUCUUAAUUUGAAUUUUUAAAAAGUAAUGUGUACUUAUUGUAACAUUUUUUUAAAAUCGGGGUGGAUUAAUAAAAAUUUUGGGGUGGAAAUAUCACCACCUAUGGUAAAUAUACUCAUUCAAGUAGUCAAGCCUACAGUUAAGAUAAAUAGAUAACAGAUUAAUGAUUGUAGUUUAAUUAUGCGAACGUGACAUACAUAUCUAUCAUAAAUUAUCAUGAAAUGUGGUAAAGCUUCAAUUCUUUUGAAACAUGAUAAAUAUAUAUAAUUAAAUUAUAACUGCUAAUCCGUUAUCUAUUUAUCUUCAUUGUCGGCUUGACUACCUUAGUUUUCUUAAAAAUUGGGAAAAAAAAGUUAUUGUUUGUGGGGAAAAGGACAUCCACACCCCCCAAACUUUGGUGAAACGGGGCACCAAUACUCACAUAUAUAUAUAUAUAUAUAUAUGUAUGACUGUAAUAAAUAAAUAAAAAUAUAACAUUAAAAUAAAUGUAAUAAUAUAUAUAUUUUAAAUUAAUUUCAAUUUAAAAAUAUUUUAAUAUUUUAAUAUUUUACAAUAUGUUAGAUAUAUUUUGUUAUAUUAAACUAAAUAUUCUAAUAAAUAGAAUCGUAAUAUUAAAAUAAAUGUAUUUCAAAUUUAAAUUAUUUUGAAUAUUAUGUAAAAUAAUAAUUUUCACAUUAUUAGUAUGUGAUUUUUUUUAUUUGUAAAAUGUAUUUAAUGCAAGUAUUUAUUUACAAUCUCUACAAUAAAUAAUAAUAUAUUAUUAAAAUAAAUAUAAUAAUUUACAUAUUUAAAUUUAUUAAAAUAUUUUAAUAUUGUUAGUUGAUUGCAUUGAUUACAUUAUUUAUAUAAUAUUUUUGUUUAUUAAAAAUUUUGAAGAUAAUCUUUUGGGGAUAAUAGAGGCACUUCUUCUCAUGUUUGAAUAUUGCAAAAAUAUAUUUGUGGUAUCAAACAAGUUUCUAAGGCUAGAAGGUAAAUUCAUUUUGACUAUUCUCUAUUUUCACCAGCUACAAGGUAGAUUAUAUUUAUCAGAUAUGUUAGGAAUCUCAUUAUUGGAGUUCCAACUUAUAAGCAACUUAUUUGUAAUUGUCAUAUUGUUAUGUGGUAAUAACUAACCCGAUGUGAUAGUUAUAGAUAAAUUAUCGCACCAAUUAGCUCAUAAUUCACUCUCGAAUGAAAAAUGUUGCAUAGACAAUAAGUUAUCAUUUUGUUUGAGAUCGUGUUUCCAAAGGUCAACUAUGGGUGUCCCAUGCAUUUUUUUGUCAAGAAACAUCUUGAUAAUGCCUUAUGCUAUCUGGAACUUUUAGGUCUAUACCCGUUAUGUUAAGGUCGGCUAUUAGGUCUAAUUUUUCUUUUAUUUAUUAAAAAAUAUUGGGUGUGGGUGUAAUUAUUCAUACUGGCCCAUUGAUUGAAUGGGUAGGAUAUGGGUACUAAAUAGUAAAACCCAUACCCGCUCAUAAACCCAUUUGAUUAUUUUUUUAAGGGAAAAUAUCCACCGUUUACCCAUUUUUUUUAACUUUUUUAAAAAUACACAAUUCUUUCUUUUUUUGGCUGGAAUCCACCUAAAGUUACAUUUUGUUUCACUUUUCCACUUCUGUUUGGAAUCCGUUAAGAAAACUAACGGAAACUUAAAAAAAUGACAAUUUUACCCCCAAAAUGAAAAUUACAAUUUCACCCUAAAAAAUACAAAAAAUAAUCAGAUUUAAUGAUGAAUAUCAUUAUUGGUAUGUUAAUGAAGUACAAAAAAAAUCUUAAUUACUAGAUAUUAUAACUCAAUGAAUAAUAAAACUCUACUCAUCUUAAAUUCAAUUGAUGAUUUGCGAGAUUUGGCUAUUUUUAAUACUACUGUUAUAAUUUAGUAUUCUAAUUAUAGACAUAUUAAAAAAAAAUCCUGCAUUUGAUGGUUGUGGAAUUAAUUUCUUUAUUGACCGAUGGGGAAAAUAAUGAGAUUUAAUUUGAUUAUUUUUUAUAAUUUUUAAGGUGAAAUUGUAAUUUUCGUUUUGGGGGAUAAAAUGGUCAUUUUAAAAGUUUCCGUUAGUUUUCUUAACGGAUUCCAAACGGAAGUGGAAAAGUGAAACACAUGUAACUUUAGGUGGAUUCCAGUCAAAAAAAGAAGGAAUUGUGUAUUUUUAAAAAAGUUGGAAAAAACGGGUGGACGGUGGAUUUUUUUUUAUUUUUUUAAUUAAUUUUUAAAAGCUAAAAUUGUUAAUUAAUAACUAAAUCUAAAUAUUAAAACCCUAAAAAAUUAAAACGUGAAUAAAUAAAGUUAGUGGCUUUAAGUUUGAAUAUUUUGAAACCCCAAUAAUGCCAAAAGUCGAUAUUUUAAAGCCUAGAAAUAAUUAAAUAAAGCAAAAUGUCUGCCGCUAGCAUAGAAAUAUGGAAGAAGAAAAAUUAAAAAUAUCGAGAAAAGAGGAAAACGUGGGAGUGGUACUAAUUUGAGGUAGACAAUCAGACGUACAUGCCGUUUGAAACUCAAAGAAUAAGGAUGAUGUGUCCACUCAAAUUUCAAUUUUGAUUGUUGCAGUAUUGACUAAAAAACGACGGAAUUUCUUUUCAAAAUCCUCCAGCUUGAAUUCAUAGGGACAAAAAAUAAAUUUAUGGAUGGAAAUAAAUAUGCAGUAUUUACGGACAAAAAUAUUCGGUUAUUAAAAAAAAAAUAAUAUACUUCUAAUAAAAAAAAUCAAUUAAAAUUCUUAACAUCAUUCAUCAGUAGUCAAUCAUCAAUCACCAAUAUUUCAUCUGGUAUUUCUUCAUAUAAAUAUUGAAAAUUUCCUUCUUGUGAUUUGUUUGUGGUUUUUUAUUUUUCCAGUGGUAAUUCCCCUCAUCAAUUCAUUGUUCUCAUGCUAACCUAUUGUUGUGAUUUGUUCUUUUUUUUAAUAAAUAUAAUCUUGUAGGUUUAAUAUGGAGAUACAUUUUUUAAUUUAAAUGGAUUUAUAAUUUCUAUUUAAUAAUAUAUUAAUUAAAAUUGAACUUAAUAAUCAUUAAAUUAAAAUUUAAGGGGAAUAAGGGAUAGGAGAAGGGGACGGGUAUAUAUAUUUGUUAACGAGAAAUCUUGAUUCAUACUCAUUCAAAUUCAUAAUAAAUAAGAGUUGAUGAUGGAAAUAUUUACUAUUAAAUAGGUACGGGUACAGUCGUACAGAUAUUAACAUCACCGCAUAAUACCCGUCUCGUUGCCAUUCAUGGGAACGAUGAAGAGGGGAAAUGGUAUACUUCAAAUUCUCUCUUUUUCUAAUUUUUAUUAUUAUUAUAAAAAAAAUUAGUGGGCGCCAGUAGUAAUUAAUAGCUUCGGCGCCCACUUACUCAACAAUAAACAAAUGGCAUGCCACCGUAAUCUUAAUCUUUUGAGUUUUAUUUAAUUCAUUAAUUGACAUUUUAGUGAGUCAAUAGCUAGAGAAAAAGUGAAAGAAAGAUAAAAAUGGGAGAUAAAAAGAUUAAUGAUGGCCCCUUACACUUGUGGUCUCUCCAUUUCAUACGCGGCUGGAACUGAUCAUUGUCUCAGAAUUAUCAGAAAUAAUAAGGUGGAGAACGGAUCAUUAUUUAAUCUUGUCCGUCCAUUUCCAUAAAAUUAAUCCUAGCCUUACGCUCAUGUCAUCUGUCUACUUCGGUUGGACUGUGAGAACGUGAUCUCCAAAGCUAAACUCAUCGCAUGUUGUUUUUAAUAGAGUGCAUGAUGCACCGUGCACGGUUCACUCAGUCAAUCCAUUCUUUCCUUCAUUAUUUUAAUAAGUAGUACCAUGCAUUUUAAAUUUUUUAUCUUAAAAAAUUAUUUUAAAUAAUAUAGUAUUUAUUAAUUAAUUAAUUAAUACAAUUAAUUCGUUCAAAUUUUAUAAAAAAUCAUUAAUUACUUAAUAAAUUAGAUAAAAUUUAAAAUAAAAAAUUUAAAUAAUUUAUAAUUACUCUUAUCCCAAUUUAAUAGAGCCGUGUAGACCCUUGGAAAAUUAAAAUUACUUGUUUAUCAUAUUUAGCACCAGGAUUUGAUCGAGGCUCUCUCGUGUUGAUGUGCGUCUUCUAUUCUAUGGACUUGUUAUUACUAACGACUAUAAAUUAGGGACGAAAGAUGCACCUUUGGGGCAACCAAUUACAGAUCUACUUCAAGAAACUCACAAUCCCUAAUCAAUGGUAUUCACAUUUUCUCAAGGUCUCUUGGUUACCCGGAAGGCGCCAGAACUAAUAGUUCCGGAGAGGCCAACACCACGAGAAGUGAAGCAAAUUUCAGAUAUAGAUGACCAAGAAAGCCUAAGGUUCCAGAUACCACUACUAUUCUUUUACAAGAAUGACCCUUCACCUUCAAUGCAAGGAAGAGACCCUGUUAAGGUCAUUAGAGAAGCAAUAAGUAAAGCACUUGUGUUUUACUACCCUUUAGCUGGCAGGCUUAAAGAAGGUUACAACCGCAAGCUUAUGGUGGAAUGCAAUGCUGAAGGAGUCUUGUUUAUUGAGGCUGAUGCCAACUUCACACUUGAGCAGCUUGGAGAUGAUAUUCAGCCACCGUGCCCGUAUUUGAACCGACUGAUUUAUGAUGUUCCAGGCUCUGAAGGCAUUCUUGGUUGCCCUUUGUUGUUAAUUCAAGUGAGUCUCUCUUUACUUUAAUUAGUAUGUAACUUUAUUUUCUGAUUUUAGAAUUGAAAGAAAAUAGUAGUACAGUAUAUGCUGAAGAUUUGUUAGGUGCUCAGCUGAGUGGCUUGAAGUAAUUUAUUUAACUAACUACUCGGGUUUGAAUAAUCUUGAGGGAAGAAAGGGGUUAAAAAUAUCAAUUUCGACUUUGUUUACUAAAGAAGAAAUUAAUAUUAAGUUUAGAUUAAAAAAGUAUCAAUUCCUACAAAUACAUAGAUUUUUCUUGAAAAUUCUAAACUUAAACUCGAUAUGAUUGUUGAACAAAUGAUACAAAUUCAUCCAUUUAAUAAUCAUAUAAAAUGUAAUUAAUUUUAAUAUAUUAUUUUGUAUCGGUUUUAUUGAGUUCGCACGUUUUUUAAAAAAUUACUAGUCUUACUAAUAUUGAUAAUAAAGAUGUGAAAAAAAAAUAAAGAGAUCUUUAGUAACUUUUACAUUACAUAAUGACUUUUUGAGGUAUAUAUAUCCUGUUUUGCUAUCGGAGGAUUCAUUUUUGUGUUUAUAGGUGACGCGUUUGACAUGCAGAGGAUUCAUUUACGUUUUAACCACACAAUGUGUGAUGCUUUUGGUUUGGUACAAUUCUUAAAAGCCAUAGAGGACAUGGCACGUGGGGAACGUUCACCAACUUUAUUUCCAAUUUGGCAACGGCAAAUCUUAAAUGCCAGAAAUCCCCCACAAGUAACAUGUAUCCACCAUGAGUACGAUGAAGUAAACACCAAUGAGGUUCCAAGUGACAACAUGGCUCACAAAUCGUUCUACUUUAGCCUAAAAGGGAUCAAAGCUCUGAGAAAUCAGCUUCCUUUUCACCUUAAAGAUUGUUCAACAUUUGAGCUAUUAUUAGCGUUUCUAUGGAAAUGUCGAACAAUUGCACUCAAGCUACAACCUGAAGAGAUUGCUAAAGUUUGUUGUAUCGUUAACGUUCGAGGAAAACGUUAUAAAAUGGAUAUUCCUCCAGGCUAUUAUGGCAAUGGUUUUACAUUUUCGGCUGUAUGUUCAAAAGCUGAACAAUUGUGUAAGAAUCCAAUAGGAUACGUCGUUGAAUUGGUGAAAAAGUAGGGAUGGCAAAAUUCUCCACGGAUUUGGCAUCCCAUGGAGCCCCACCCCAAAUGGGAAAAAUUUUGAAUAAUUUUUGGAGAAUGGGGUGGGGAGUGGGGGGAAAAUAAUCCCCAAAUUCUUAAUGGGGUGGGGUUUGGUUUUGUACUCCCCACCCCACCCCUACCCCUACCCCAAUCCCCAUUAAAUAUAAAUAUGUUUUUAAUUCUUAUUUAAUAAUUUUUAUUUUAUCAAUUAUAAUGUCAAUUAAUGUUUUUUUAAUUUUUAUGCAAUAUAAACAAGAUAUGAAUGAAAGAAAAUCCUAUAAUAUUUUUCAACUCUGAAACAUUGUUAUAUUUUCUUUUCUCUUUUAAGGUGCUACGCUCUUUAAAUAUUUUUCAGUUUUAAUAUCAUUUUAAGAUAUUGUUUCAAACUUUUAGAUAUUUUUUUAAAAGAAUUUAAAUACUUUAUAAUAUGAUGAUGAUUUUAUUUUAAGUCUCUAAUUUUUAACUUACUAAAAUAAUAUAUUUAUACAUAUUAUAAAAUAGAUAAAUGGGGAAUGGGGUGGGGAUGGGGAAAUCAUUCCCCACAUGGGGAUUCUCCAUCCCCACCCCACUAAAUUUAUUGGGGAAUGAGGUGGGGAAUGGAGGCAAAAAUUUCUAACGGGGUGGGGAAUGGGGUAGGCCUCCCCACCCCCACCCCACCCCAUUGCCAUCCCUAUGAAAAAGGCGAAGGCUCAAAUGAACGAAGAAUAUAUAAGGUCUGUGGCGGAUCUUAUGGUGAUCAAAGGGCGACGAAUCAAGUUCUCGACUAGGGGAAAUUUCAUUGUUUCGGAUCUAAGGAAUGUUGGACUCGGAGAUGUUGAUUUUGGGUGGGGGAAACCAAUUUAUGCUGGAACUGCUGGCGCUGUAGCAGUGAUCAGCUUCUUUACAAAGUACCAAAACAAGAAUGGAGAGCCUGGAAUUCUUGUACCAAUAUGCUUGCCGCAGUCAGCUAUGGAAAGGCUUCAAGAAGAGCUAAAGGGGUUUAUGAUUCAAGGAUCUAUGGAGGAUUUAUGCAACAUUAACCAGACUCAGAUUUUCAGCAAGCUUUAAGGGAUAUAUCUCCUCAGUUUACGUAGUAGCUUUUUUUGAUUAUAAACCAAUAAUGCAAGUUAUGCGUCCUCUCAAGUUAUGUCUAAAACUAAAUAAUGUACCCAUUACCUUAACUUUUUAAUAUGCCACGUAUACGUUAUUAGUCAUUUAUGAUUCAAAUAUUUAUUUUCAUAAUAAUGAUAUACUUGAAGUUUGUAUAUUAAAUAACGUGUUACCAACAAUUGACCAUCAUGUAUUUGGUAUUUGCAGCACUAAUGAGUAAAUGACAUGUUAAGUUUUACAUCAUCUAGAAUGCAAACUUUGUAUUCCAACUUUAUAAGCAUAUUAUUAUUCUGAAAGCUAAGAUGAGUAGAAAAUCUUAGUUUAAAAUGAAAGUAGAAAUUCCAUGUGUCUAAACAGACCUUAGUAAACAUCAAUAUAAUAACCUAAUGAAAUUUGGUAGUUAAAGUAUACAAGCAAAAACUAAAAAAGGAACAUAAAUAUAAAUAUGCAUUUCACUAUUAUGGUGCAUUUACUAAUUGCUAACUAGAAUAGGCUGGAAUCUAAAUGGGGAAUGAGAAUUAGAAUAAACCGGUAGGAAUCAAAAUCGAAAUGACUUAUAUUGUCAUCAAUGUACUUAUUUUUGUCUGGAAAUUGGAAUAUUGUUAAUAAUAAUAAUAAUAAUAAUAAUAAUAAUAAUAAUAAUUAGGGGUGUUUAGAAUCUAAUCUGAUCCGUUCAAUCUGUCUGAUCCGUAGAAAUGCGAUUCAUAAAAAUCCGAUCCGUGAAUUGGAUUGGAUUGAAAAUUUAAAAAUCUGCAGUCGGGUGGAUUGGAUAUGGAUUUACUAGGGGUGGCAAUAUGGGUCAUGAUUCGUUUAUUCGAUUCGAUUCGAUGCGAAUUAAAUGGGUUUGAGUUUGAGAAAAUUGAUUCGUUUAAUAAAUGGGUGAAUUCAAUUCGAUUCGCUAAUUAAACGAAUCGAAUGCGGGUUUGAAGAUUUUGAUUCGUUUAUUCGUUUAAGAUUCGUUUAAUAAACGGGUCAUAAACUAAUCAAAUACAGGUCGAUUCGUUUAAAAUUUGUUUAAUUAAAUUACUUUUUUGUCUUUAAAUUUAUUUGGAAACUUUUUAAAAUAUGAAAGUUAAUAUUGUAAUUUUAAGCAUAACACAUAAACCCAAAAGACCAACCCUAAUUUUACACUUCACACGCACUUUUCCCUCAUCUCCUAGCAACUCGGCCGCCACUGCUACAUUUUGCCAUCUUUUUAUCUUCAUUUCCUUCUCCAAAUCCUUUUCUUUUUCUUUUUAAUUUUUGCAUCCAGCAAGUGCUACGUUUGCCACUGCUCCAAAUCCUUGGAUUUGUGUGAGUGUGAUAGGUAAAGUUUUGUCUUCUUUAAUUAUUAUUUCCUUAAAAAUACUACAAAUUUGCUAUAUAUUUGAUAUUUUAAAAUUUUACAAUGAUUAUUAUCAAUAUUGCAGUAUGUUUAAUUGUUAUUAACAUUUUAUUUAUUUUUUGGUGUCGGAUUUGUGUUUUCAAGGUGAAAAAGACAAAUGAAGAGAAUUAAAGAAAUUACCUUACUUUAUAAUUUGAAUUUGAAUUAUUGUUAUUUGUAUUAUCAGGGAUUUGUAAUUUGGUAUUUGGAUGACUGCAUAAUAUGGUUUGAGUUACUUGUAUUUUGUUGUGGGAUGUUAAACUCGUGAUUUUUUAUAUUUUAUUUUGCUUAAUUUUGUUUAUUAAUUAUAUUUUUCUAAACGAAUUGUAAACGAAUCCUGAUUCGGUUUGAUUCGUUUUGAUUCGUUAAGGAUAAAUGAAUAAUAAAUGAAUUCGGAUUCGAUUCAAUUCGUUUAUCAAUUCUAUUAAACGAAUUAAACGAAUCGAACCGAAUAUUCGUUUAAUAAACGAAUCGAAUCUGAAUCCUGAAAUUUCAAUUCGUUUAAUAAACGAAUCGAAUCCGAAUCCGUAGAAUUUUGACCCAAUUCGUUUACGAUUCGAUUCGAAUUCGAUUCGUUUAUUCAUUUUGCCACCCCUAGGAUUUACUUCCGUGAAUUCGCAAAAAUUUACGAAUCCGAAAAAAAUAAAAAUAUUUAUUUUAUAAAAAAAUGAACUUGUAAAUAUGACAUUAUACUUACUAAUAAAUAAAUAAGUUAAAAUAUAGUUACAUUAACACAUAUUAUGUUUUAUUUGAUAAUAUAUAAAAAAAUAAUUAAAUAAAAAUAUAGCUUCCUAAGCAGUUAAUUUUCAUGUACUAAUCUAAACAAAUGAGUUUUUUUUUUUGGUAUGUUAUAUUUUGAAAACUUUGAAUGUAUUUUCUACCUUUAUUUAAAUAAUUAACUUAUUUAAAUCUUAUUUAAUUUUGAAUUUGAUCGGUAGUAAAAUUAUUUUAUAUUAAUUUUUUUUAUUUAGUUAGUUCGUGGAUAGGACAUGAUUAAAAAUUUUUAGCCCACAAACCAAUUUGUAAAAUGGUCGAUCAGAUGUGGAUUGAGUCAAAUCCGCAUCCGAUCUGCAGACGUAUGGAUUGGAUUUGGAUUAAAAUUUAUCAAUCAAUGAAUUAGAUUGGAUUAAAAUUUUAUAAUCUGUAAAAAUUAUGGAUAAGAUAUGGAUGGAUGCCCAAUCCGCUAAAUCAGAUUCGCGAACCCCUAAUAAUAAUAAUAAUAAUAACAAUAAUAAUAUCAUCAUCAUCACCAUCACCAUCACCAUCAUGAUCACGAUCACGAUCACCAUCAUCAUAGAAUUUAUUUUAAACUCAUUGUCGAUAAAUUAAGUUGUUAUUCAACAUUUAUGCUGUACUAGUUUUCAUAAUUGAGAGCCCAUUAUUUUAAGGUUAAAAAUAAAAGGAAAAGGCACAAAAGUUACUAAAUGGGACCUAAGCCAUUUCUUGUCGCUGGUUGUGUUAGGUUCAGAAUCUGAUCUACAUAUACAAAGGCUUAUAGAGGAACAAUAACAGAACUGGACGUCAGACAUCAUACNNNNNNNNNNNNNNNNNNNNNNNNNNNNNNNNNNNNNNNNNNNNNNNNNNNNNNNNNNNNNNNNNNNNNNNNNNNNNNNNNNNNNNNNNNNNNNNNNNNNNNNNNNNNNNNNNNNNNNNNNNNNNNNNNNNNNNNNNNNNNNNNNNNNNNNNNNNNNNNNNNNNNNNNNNNNNNNNNNNNNNNNNNNNNNNNNNNNNNNNNNNNNNNNNNNNNNNNNNNNNNNNNNNNNNNNNNNNNNNNNNNNNNNNNNNNNNNNNNNNNNNNNNNNNNNNNNNNNNNNNNNNNNNNNNNNNNNNNNNNNNNNNNNNNNNNNNNNNNNNNNNNNNUUAAUCUCUUAAAAAGGAAAACAAGCACAACCAAAAGUUUUGAAAAUGGAUAAUUGGUUUUUUAUGGAAUAGAUAUUCAUAAGGAGUUUUCAAGGAAAGAACAGGAGUUGGAAGUUUGUUUAUAAUGUGGGUAGCUGUAUGAAAAGAAUCCACCAAAAUUUUAUAGGUAACUUAGCUUGUGCAAGCAAGGUUAAACCCAACUCAGUGAUGUGUCUAUGUUUUCUUUCCACAAGGCCAUUUUGAUUGUGAGUAUAGGGACAUGAGUGUCUAAAUGAAUCCCUCUGUUUGAAGAAAAUGAACAAAUGAUCUGUACUCACCACCCCAAUCAGAUUGAAGACACUUGAUAGGUUUAUCUAAUUGUUUCUCUACUUGAGCUUUGAAAACUUUGAAUACUGGAAAUGCUUCAGCUUUGGUUUUUAAAGGAAAAUCCAGGUGAAUCUUGUGUAAUCAUCUACAAAGCUGAUAUAAUAUUUAUAUCCUUGUAUAGACAGUGUAGGAGCAGGCCCCCAUAGAUCUGUAUGUAAGAUUUCAAGUGCAUUUUUGGUUUUGGUUUCAGUUACUGGAAAAUGAAGUUUAUACAUUUUUCCCAACUUACAAGCAUCACAAGAAUCAAAACCUUUAUUACCAUCGAUGGUUUUAAAAGAUAAACACGAAUUGAUAACAUGAUUCAACACUCUAGCAUUGAGAUGACCUAAUCUUUGGUGUAAAACCAUAGUACUCAACAUAUAAUCUGAGUUUUGACUACAUUGUGUUUUCAGUAUGUAACUGAGAAGCAAUUUUAUUCUGACAUUUAGAAUCAACAACAGAAAACAUGGAAAUAGGUUGAGUUGAGACUACUGACUGAACAUGAGCAAAAAACCUUGGUUUGACAGAUAAGGAGAGGUUUUAUUUGAGGAGACUAAUAGCAAUCUGUACAAUCCUUUUUCAGCUUUGCCCUGUAGCAUGAUCAAAUUCCUCACAUUGUCCUUAACAAAACAGAAAUCAUUAGUAAAUUCUACCACAACAUCAUUAUCUCUGGUUAGUUUUGAUAUACUUAUAAGGUUUUUGGUUAUUUUAGGCACAAGAAGAAUAUUAUUUAGCUUAAGACCAACAUGAUUUAUAGAGCUUUGCAUUCUCAAAACAGCAGAACAUGUAUGUGUUAUGAAUAAACCAACACCAUUACCAAUGACAAGUUUAGAAGUACCUGCAAAAGGUUCAGCCAUAUUCAUAUUGCUCAUAUCAUUAGUGAGGUGGUGUGUAGCACCACUGUCAAGAUACCAAUUAGUAUCAGCUGGAGCAUCCAUGUUGGCUAAAUAGGCAGCCUUUGGUCCUCUAUUUGGAGGUGAUCUGUAAGAGCCUGAAGCCAUGAAUUCUUCUAGCUUCCAACAAAUGUUUGCAUUAUGUCCAGGCUUGAGGCAGAUUUGGCAGGUAGGUUUGGAAGUAUUCCACUGAGGUUUAGAGUUCAUAGGUGGUUUGCCAUUGUUAAAAUUGUUAACUCCAGUGUUAUUGUUCCAGUUUCCUCCUCAUCCUCCUAUUUGAUUACCAGAUUGAUAACCUUUGAACUGAGUAUUAAAACCAGUACCAGCACCAGCAGAGUUAGUGCCAAAAUUUCCUUUAAUAACCACCAUUUCCAAACCCAGAGUUAUAGCCAUAACCACCAAAACCUCUUCCACCUGACAUGUUUCCCUUCUUAACUCCUCUAUUUUGAGCAUAAUUUGCCUCAAAUUUUUUUCAUAUCCACACCAGCAAGCAUUUGUGAUUGUUGUUCAAUCCUAGCCUAUUGAGUUAAUAGCAUAGCAUAGGCUUCAUUUACAUUCAUUUUACCAACUCCUACUUGACCAGUAAUGUAAGUAGCUACUGAAUUAUAAUCUGGUCCUAGGCCAAAUAAUACAUGCAAAAUCAUAUCAUCACUACUUAAAGCACUUCCUGCUGCAGCCAUAUUAUCAGCUAUCAUUUUACCAACAUCCUACUUGACCAGUAAUGUAAGUAGCUACUGAAUUUAAUCUGGUCCUAGGCCAAAUAAUACAUGCAAAAUCAUAUCAUCACUACUUAAAGCACGUCCUGCUGCAGCCAUAUUAUCAGCUAUGUUUUUCAUCUUAAUGAAAUAAUAUGUGAUUUUCAUAUCAUCUUUCCUUGUUGAAUUCAUCAUGUAUCUAAGAUGUAAAAGUCUGGAUUUAGAUUGCGAGCCAAAUUGUACCUUAAUAGCUUUCCACACUUUAAGUGACGUUUCCAGGUUGAACACUACACUGAUGAUUCCUUCACUCAUUGAAGAGAGAGCCAUCCAAGCAGCACCUGAUCUUGAGAUCUCCAUGUUGUGAAUUCUGGAUUCUCCACAGAUCUGAGUUCAUCAUCAACUCUCUGAGCUGUAUGAGAUGGAGGUGGAGUGACUACAUCAUCAAUAAACUUUUCGAGCAUGUUUCCACGAAUAGAGGCUAGAACUUGAGAUCACCAUAUAAGAUAAUUGGACUGAUCAAGCUUAACUGGUGUGUUAAAGGUAAAGGAAACAGUUGUUGAAUUUGUAGCAUGAUUAAGAGUUGGAAUUGAGGAAGAAUAAGCAAGAUUAACAGACGCCAUUAUUGGCUGGCUCUGAUACCAAGUAAGAAUUCAAUGAUGUUUGGAAGCAAAGAAAACUUAAAAGAAAAUAAGAGAAUUCAGAAACUCUUUCUUCGUUUUAUUAUCUCAAAUCAUUAAUCAACUGAAUCUAUACAUACUUCUAUUUAUAUACUUCAGUAGUAAUUAGAACUAAUUCUCUACUAAUUGCAAGUGCUAAUCAGCUGGUUAUAACUAACUAAAACUGAAUUACAAGCACAAGAAAUACUAUAACAAACUCUACUAAUCUUCACGUGUGCAAGAGACUAUAUAACCACCAGGCUCCAGCUGGCAAGCCAUGUCAUCAACCUGUAACAGCAAGCUGCAGGUGUUGCAAUCCUCUGCUCCACUGACUACUCUGCUCAUGUGAGCUUCCUUAACACCUUGCUUGGGAAGUCAAUGACUUAUUCACUUCCUUUGCUGCUCUGCAUUUUGCAGUCUCUUCCCCUGCAAUUGCUAUUGCCUUCUUCAACUGUUUAGUUGUCCUUUCCAGCUCAACCUCUUGAAGUUGAGCUUUCCGAGUAAGAUUCUCCACCUGCGAGAGAUAGAGAGAAAUCAGCAUUCUGCCAAAACAGAGAAAGGAAAAGUUUAAUAUUCUAACGCUCAAUAACUAGCUGCAAAAUGCAAAUAACAAUAUUCUAUAGGCAUUAAAUAAACAUGUUUGGAUCUUGAGGUCUGGAUUCCAUCUAUUCAUCAUUUUCUUGAGGUUGCAGCUUCUAAAACCCAGAAAGAUGCCUGAAGGGUGUAAAUUGGACUAAUAAAUUUGAAGGGGAAAAGAAGAUCUCUACACAAAACUUCUAGCCUUAAAUUUUCAUGAAGGUCAAACAGAUUGAAUUCCGAAACUAUUAAGUUUUGCAACGCCAUAGGCAAUGAGAUGGAAAGGAAGACUACAUGUGGGAGCUUUAUUUUCGUUUUGCUUAUUUCCAUUGGUCGUCAUGUGGAUUUUGGACAAGUUUGCGUUGAGUUAUAUCUCAUUAAAUAUGGCUAUGAUUCCUUGAAUUCUGAAUACUAAGAGCAUUGCUACGUAUACGUAGCUAAUGAAAUUUGGCUCUGAAACUACUAUUAAAAUUGAAUUUAAUAAUCAAGCAGAUAACCGUGUAAAGCAUCUAUUUGCUGAAGCUAUUAUUAAUGCAAAAUGCAAGUAUUUUAGAAAGUUCAUUCAAUUAAUCGCUAGCUAAAGAAUAGCAAAUACAUGUGCUCUUAAUUUAAUAACCUCUUGGCUAAGGCUAUCGUUAGUCCUUUUUGCAUCAUCCACGACGAUUUUAGGCGAGGCAAGCCCUCCAGAGUUGGGGUCGGUGUUGUUAAACGAGGUGGGCUGGGCCGUCUUGAUAUUGACGAUGUUGCUCGUGAUACAACUCUCGAACCAGGAACAGAAGCUUAGCAGAACUUCUCGUAUGAUCGAUAACACGAGACACUCAAUAAUACAGCCUUACUGAAGGAAAAAGAAAGAUUAGGUAAAUCAUUACGCCUUCUGCAAGCUAUCAUUGCUACCGAAUGGAGAAUUCAAAGGAGAGCUUCUCCGAGUGUAUGUUCUGGGACUAUUUGCUUCUGAUGGAAUUCCAUCACUCCUUGACUCUGUUCUCCCUUUCGAUGAUGAUUACGUGAAAUUAAUGCUUUUAAUCCACUAAACCAUACCUCAGCUUCAUCUUCAUCUUUGCAAAUCUAGUAAUAAAAUUCAGAUCACUAAUUUGUAAAACUUUAACAAUCAAAUUAUCUUUAAACCAUCAAUAUAAACACAAUGAGAAAGGUUACAGAGGAUCUUGUAAAAAAAUAAUAAUAAUAACUAGCAAAAAAAUAGUAAUGGAAAAUAAUGGAAGACCAUUUGGCCAGGUGGUUAUUUUAUUUUGAUGAGUAAUGAUGCAUUUUAUUAAAAAUGCAUAGUAAAUAGAGGAAGGAACAGUACUACGGAAUCUAAGACAAGUUGGAAAGAGUUAUUGCUAUAUUACAUCAAUAUUAAACUAUUGUUUGAUUAACCAGAUAACAAGACAAAAAUAAAUGUUAUAUGUAGGAUGAUAGAACCAGUGCAUAAUCGAAUUCCGUUAGGAAGUUUUCAAUUAAAUAUCUAAAUUUGUUGCAAGAUUGUUAAUGCACAGGUAUAAUCCCUUCUCAUGUAUUACCUGCAUUUAAAUUCAUUUCAGCGAUGCCGAAAGACUUAUAUCUGAACUUGCUGGACAUGCUUUUUCUCUUGUUGAUUUCUAUGUUGUUUUUAUAUUUGUUUUGUAGAUUAAGAGCUUAAGGCUGCCAAUGAAGUUUGGAAAUCAUAGGGGCUUUGCAUUCGUUGAGUAUGUAACAAAGCAAGAGGCGCAAAAUGCACUUGAAGCACUUUCAAACACCCAUCUCUAUGGUCGGCAUCUGGUAAGCUUUCUACCAGUUCUUAUAGAUAUUCUCUGUUGCACAUGAUCAGAUAAUAUCUAUAAUUGCCACCACAUUUCAGGUGAUGGAGAGAGCAAAGGAAGGGGGAAGAAUUGCGGGCUCGAACUGCUGCUCAGUUUACCAAAUGGGUUUCAAAAUUUUCUAAGAAGAGGAAGCACAUGACAAUCUUCGAUGAAGGUAGAAUGAAGUUUGAAAGGAUUGCUGGGUAGAGUGCUUUAUAUGAAAUUUUUCUCGUGUAUUGAGAGACAUGAGGUUUGUUAUGUAGUUAGUUUUAAGGUUUAUUAAUUAUAUUAUCAGUUAUGUUGGCUCCAUUUUUGUCCGUUGGGAGUCGAUAUCUGUUUGUAAUUGUUUCUUGUAGGUGAGGGAACAAAGCAUAUUUUGUAGAAUUUCUUGAUGUAAAUCAUCUAGAUAUGUCAUAGAAGAGUUAAAAUUUUCAGAAAUGUCUUGUUCUUCUACUCCACUGUUUUUCAUUGUUUAAUGCAAAAGUGUUGAUUGCCUCUUCUAAUUCACUUGGGAUUUAGUUCCCUCCUAAGCAAAAUUUUAGUUGGAUGCAAAUGGGUUAUAUGAAUUUAAAAAAUUUCAGAUAGUAUCCUUCAUUGCUAGAAACCAAGAUUAGCAUCCGUUUCAUCGAUGCUGGUAUUGUCAUCACAAAUACUUCCAGGUCCUUGCUUAAACUAACUACAAUUCAAGAGGGCGUCGUUUAUGCUAACUUCUUUCUCACGUUUGUAGAUUAUGAAAUUCAAUUUGUGGUAUCAUUCAAGUUUCAAGGGCUAGGUACAAAGAUGUAAAUUCCGAUUGGCUAUUCUCUACUUUUACCAGCUACAAGGUAGAUUAUAUUUAUCUAAGCAACAUGUUAGGAAUCUUAACAUUGGAAUCCCAACAGAUAUAAUCGCUUAUUUAUAAUUGUGACAUCCUAAUGUGGUAAUAACUAACCUAAUGUGACAGUUACAGAUAAAUCGUUGCACCAGUUAGCUCGUAAUUCUUUCUUUGAAAAAAAAAUAUUUAUAUAUAUUGCCACAGAUAACAGGCUAUUAUUUCGUUUGGGAUCAUUCCAAAGGUCAACUUUGGGUGUAUUAAUUAUCAAGCAGCAGCUUGAUAAAGCCUCAACAAAUCCACUAUCUACACUCAAAUGUUUUGCAUAUCUUUAGUUGACGAUUGGUGUAAUUGAUCAGCAACUACAAUUUUUAGACAAGUAUGUAAGAUUGUAAAUAUACAUGGACCCUUAGGAAAUUUUAGUAAAACAAGACGUGCCAUCGUGAAAAUGAGAUCUCUUUAUUGAUUAAUUCGAAGUCUUCGUGUAGAUAUAGUAUGAUCGGUCACUUGCACAAUUCAUUGGAUUUCUAACGUACAUAACAGAUACUUUUGUUAUUUUUCUAGGUGACAUAAUUGGUAAAUCUACUAAAGCUUGCAAGCAAUCUUACGAGUCUCCGUGAUAUCAAAUAAAUCUUCUGUUGAUCCUUGAAUCAUUCUCUUUAGCUCUUCUUCAAAUCUCUUCAUACUCGGCCUCGGCAAACGUAUAGGUAUGAGAGUCCCAGUCUCCCAUCUUUUUGGUACCUGUUUAAGAAACUAAAAAUAGACUUAGCACCAGCAAUCCCAGCGAAAACUGGUUUCCCCCACCCCAAAUCAAUUCUAUCAAAUCCAACCUUGCUUAAAUCGGACACAAUGUAGUUCCCCUUAAUCGCGUGCCUCGGCCGUCGCCCUUUGACCUCCAUAAGAUCCGCCGCAGAUCUUAUAUGCUCUUCACUCAUUUCAGCCUUUGCUUUUUUCACCAAUGCAACAGCAUACCCUAAUGGAUUGUUGCAUAAAGCACCAACUUUUGAAUGCACAGCUGGGAAUGCCACUGCGUUACCAUAAUACCCGGAAGGGAUAUCCAUUUUAUAAUCUUUUGCUCGAGCGGUAACUAGACAUGAAAAUUGAACAGUGUCUUUAGGGUCUAGUUGAAGAGCAAUUGUUCUACAUCUCCACAUACAAGCAGCCAACAACUCAAAUGUUGAACAAUUUCUAAGGUGUAAUGGAAGUUGAUUUUUGAGGACUCUCACUUCUUUGGGACCAAAGUAGAAUGAUUUGUGGUCCAUUUCAUUUGGAUUGGUAGUUAUGAAAGUAUCUGAAUUGUUAUUUAUUUCUUCGUAUUCUAAGUGAACACUUGUUACUUGUGGUGGAUUUCUAGCACAUAAGCGUUCCGUUGCCAAACAGGGAAUAGCGAAAGUGUAUUUGCACCUCUUGCCAUCUCCUCUAUCGCUUUCACAAAUUGCACCAAACCAGAUGCAUCACACAUUGUGUGGUUGAAACGUAUCGCAAGAGUGAAUCCUCCACACAUCAAACGAGUCACCUAUAUAUAUAUAUAUAUGAGAAACAAAGAAAACAUUAAAAUACUUGAAGUAGAAAUGUAGAAUUAGGUUAUAUAUAGAAGCGAGAAACUAAGAAUAACAUUUUGGUCCCCAACAUUUUUACAUAUUUUACCAUUUAGGACCAUUUUUUAAUUUCUCACUUUAUUCGACAGUAUAAUUUUAUAGAAAAUUAUUAGUGGUCCACUGAACUUUUAUUGAAAGUUCCAAAUUAAAUAUUCAAAACCUUCAAAAAUUAUUACUUGUCUACGUAAGUUUUGGAAUUGUAUAAUGAGCCAAUUUUCCGGGAACUCAAUAAGAUAAUUUAGUGUAUCCCCCAAAAAAAAAAAAAGACUACUAAAAAGAAAUGUUCGAUUAGUACACUCGACUUCAAAAGCCCAAAAAAAUAUGUUUUUUAUAUUAUAAUGUUAUGAUGUAAUAGGUAAUUGAAAAUUAUAUAUAUGAACCGGGCUAACUGAUAAAAGUGACACAUUUAGAGACUUGAAUGUAUCCUCUCAUUAAUUAUAAAAUGUCGAAACUAUUUAUUUUGAGUAUGCAUGUGAAGUAAAUUCAAUGGUUAGUUAUGAUCGACUCACUUGAAUUAAGAGCAAUGGGCAACCAAGAAUGCCUUCAGAACCUGGAACAUUAUAGGUCAAUUGUUCAAAUACGGGCAUGGAGGCUGAAUAGCACCGCCAAGCUGCUCAAGUUUGAAGUUAGCUUCAGCCUCGAGAAACAAGAUCCCUUCACCAUUGCAAUCCACCAUAAAGCUUGCGGUUGGGACCUUCUAUAAGCCUACCAGCAAAAGGGUAAUAAUACACAAGUGCUUCACUUAUAGCUUCCUUGAUGACCUUCACGGGAUCUUUUUCUUUGAGUACUGGAGGUGAUGAUGCAGAGUUAUUCUUGUAAAGGAAUAUUACUGGAAUAUGAAACCUGAAACUUUCUUGGUCGUCUAUAUCGGAAAGUUGCUUUAAUUCACGCGGUGUUGGCCUUGCCGGAACAAUUAAUUCCGGUGCCUGCCGGGUUACUGACAAAACUAGAGAAAAUUUUGGAGCCAUUUUAAAUUUUCAAUGUUAGUUACUAGUUUGGUUGUUCUGGUAAGGCUUGAACUGUUUCACUGGUUGCCUUGGCCUCCAAAAAUUUUCAUUUAUAGCUGAAGAGAGAGGCACGUGGGUAGCGCGUAUGGAAAGUGACUGUCACCGAAUUAUGCAGAAGCACGUGUGUGGCACGUUAUACAUAAUUUUUUAAUUCAACUUCAGCAAAAAUAUUCUUGGUCGGUUAGGGUUAAGAGGAUUUAUGUAUAUGUACAGAAAGUGUCCAUCGAUAUAAACAUUUGUUUCCUACUUGAUUAAUUUCGAAAACAAUUAUAGUCUGCACCUACGGCUUGGCGGAGUGGUUGUCAAUCCAUUUUUUCUUUGAUUGGCCAUCCCAAAUUCAAAUCUUAGUUAAAAAAAAUAAUAAUAAUUUGAACUUUGUUCAUCUUUAUGCUUUGCUAUGAGAGUACUUCGUUCGUUGGAAUGGUGAUUUUCAAACACUGGAUCAUCACCUAUAUUAUAGCAUUCCAAAUUAAAAAUACGGAUCAAAUUUGAAGAGAAAUACAAAACGAUAAUGCGCUUAGAGUACCCAAGACUCUACUAUGUAUUGAACAUGAUGACGAGCACGUUUCUUGUAAAAUUAGGACGCUAUUGAAUAUGUUGUGAUAAGGUGGUGUACUGUAAUUUAGGAGGCAAAUUCUCCUUCCAAUAAUUCUUGCAACACUUGGCUAAUUGAGCUUGUUCCCCUAAAUAAACGGAAAUCCUUUUGUGUAUACUUGCACCACCGAAUGAGUUAUUUUAACUUCAAUAAUAUUAGGCAGCAACCCGCUACUGGUUUAUAUCAUUUGCAGACUUAUUUUUUAACUUUUUUAAGAUGAGGAUUAAUCUAUCUGAACCCGUUCACUAAUUAUUUCAAAUUGUUAUUUUGUGCUAGCAGAUAGUUGUCGAUGGAAUAAUAUAUUUAUAGUGCAACUUGGAAAGUCAAUCGAGAAUAGCUUAAAAUUCUACUUUCUCUAGCUAAUAUUGGGGAGAUAUGUCCAUAUCUAUUCUACACUCUGCGGAAAGCAAAUAAAGAAUUCCCUUGGAAGCUCGAACUGAUUAGUCCACCAUUAAGCUAUUGUCCAUAUGUUUAGGUGGAAACCAAUGAGAAGUGAAAUAAAAGUACUUCUCAUGCCAUGAAUUUGUAGUCAAGAAAUAAUCCUUUAGUUUUAUUUUAUUUUGCAAUAAUAACUCUUUCGAUUUUUUUUAAUAUUUUAUUUAGGAAAUAAACCCUUUAGAUUACUAAGCUGUAGCAAUAUUCAGUGAAAAGAGAGAGAGAGAGAGAGUAGAAAAACCACACAUUAAAAUCCUCAUCUAUUUCACAUUUCCAUAUUGAGCAUCACAUCAAGAGUGGGUACACUUUCAUUGAAUCGUGGUCUCUAAUGCAUAGGCGGUUUGAAAUUAAUUUUAUUACAAUUGGAUACUUCUUGUUUUUGGAUAGGAACAAUUGGAUUCAUGAACAUACAUUGUACAUACAACAUAAUGGUCAAUUUUAGGGAUGGCAAUGGGGAGGGGAAGGGAGGGGACCAAUCUCCCCGUACCCAUCUCCGAUAUUUUGCGUAUGUCCCCGUCCCCGUUAGAAUUACUUGAGAGAAUCCCCAUCCCCUCCCCGAAUAAUAACAGGGGAUCCCGAGAGUCCCCGAUCCCCGAAUAACUAAUACAUUUUUUUUUGUUUUUGAUUUGAGUUAAUCAUAUUAAAAUAAAAAAUUCAAAUAAAAGUAAAGUUCGAAAUAUAUCUUACAUUAAUAUCCAUUACAAAAGUCACAUACAUUAAAUUAGUAAGUAACGCAACAUACAAGGGAUACAAACUUCUUUUACAAACUAUCAUGAACAAAUUAAUAGUCUAAUACAAAAUUGUUACAAAUAAAAUCGAAUUUAGAUUCAAAAUUAACUUUUUCAAUGGUGGCGUGGGCACUUUAUAAAUGUGGACUAUUCCCUUUACAACACAAUAGUUAAAUCGGAGCAAAUCAAGAGCAAAUAUUAGAUUAGAUUAGAUUAGAUAUUAAAAUUGUGAUUCGCUGUGGGCAAUUAUAACAUCUAAAAAUAAAUAAAAAAUAGAUUUAAGUUUAAAAUAUUUAAAGAAUAUUAAAAUUAAAAAAUUUUGGGCUAAUAGAAUCUACUCAAUCUUUUUAAUGUCCUAAAUAAAAAUUUAGGACUUUAAUUAGGCCUAAAAGUUUAAUAAUAUAAAUAUUUUGAUAUUUUUUAUUUUUACCAAUAAUUAUAAUUUUAUAAUUUAAAUUUUAUUAUUUAUUUACUAGUAAUUUUAAAAAAUUAAAAUAAAAUUAAAAAUUAAAAUGGGGAAAUGGGUAGGGGAUGGGGAUUCCACCUCAUCCCCGUCCCCUCCCCGAAUAAAAAAUUGGGUAAAAAAAUUUCCUCGUCCCUUCCCCAAAUAAGAAAUUGGGUAUGAAAUUAUCCCCAUACCCUCUCCGAAUGAGGAAAAUCCCCGAGGGUACCCGUCCCCGUGGGGAUUUUUGCCAUCCCUAGUCAAUUUACACAUUUUCAACGUUUAGUAAUAUGAUUAGAAAGUUCCCCUAAUUUAAAAUUAUUAAAUUUUAUAUUUAUUGAAAGUGAUAGAGGCACUCGUAUUAAUUUGUGCUCUUAAUUUUCCAUUUGAUUGCAAUAUAAGAAAAUGAGUAUUACAUGACAUUUGUCCUCAUUUGUUCUGCCUGGAUCGACCAAAAUAAUUUACUUGGUCUCAGUUUUCACCCGUGGAAUACUCUUGGCUUCUUUCUUGUCUAACCAUGACCAUAAAUGAGAAACAAUGGAGGCCAAGGCAGCCAACGAAAUAGUUCAAGCCUUACCAAACAAAAAAACUAACCUUAGUAAACUAAGUCCUCAAGCAAAUAACACAGAUUAAAAUGGCUUCAAAUUAAAUUUUCUCAAGUUUUGUCGGUAACCCGGCAAGCACCGGAAUUAAUUGUUCCGGCGAGGCCAACGCCGCAUGAAUUAAAGCAACUUUCAGAUAUGGAUGAUCAAGAAAGUCUAAGGUUUCAGAUUCCAGGAAUAUUAUUUUACAAGAACAACCCUUCAUCAUCACCUACUGUCCAAAAAGAAAAGAUCCCGUGGAGGUCAUCAAGGAAGCUUUAAGUAAAGCACUUGUAUAUUAUUAUCCUUUUUCAUGUACGCUUGUAAAAGGCCCCAACCGCAAGCUUAUGGUGGAUUGCAAUGGUGAAGG